ACUGGUCAAACUAACCAGUGGGUCCCAUGUGUCAUAGACACACUUUUUAAUUAGGGUUAAUUAUUAAUUAACCAGAUUAAUUUAGUGGGGGACCCACGUGUCAUAUUCUGUUAGGUUAAAUACUUAUCUAUAUUAACAUAUUUACUUCAUUAUUCUAAUUACUCAUAAUCAUUAUAAUUACCUAAUUAAUUAAUUAAUUAAUUAAUUAAACUAUUUACUAAUUAUUAUUUUUACAGAGGGUUGUGUGGGCCUCCCUCUGAGUGGGAGUGGGGGGUUGGCCCCACAUGGCAGUGGCCCACCGGUCACACACAACACAACACAUACACACACUUUGUAUAGAAUAUCUCACAUACACAUAUACACAUUUUUACACACAUCCACAAUACACAUCAUACAUACAUACAUAUACAUAUAUUUGCAUACAUACACAUUUACAUAUAUCCAUUUAUUUUCUUUUCUUUUCCUAACAUCUCUUUUCUUUCUUUCCGUUCUAUCUCUCUGUUCAUCUCUCUCUCAACACAAAGACAGGAGGCAAAACUCCACCUCCUCCUCUUACACGAGAUCAACGACGUCGGGACGAGGCGAUGAACGCCAGAACGGAACCGAAGGGUGGAAGGAGAGGGAGAGGGGGCGUGCUCACCAACGUUGUAGAGGGGUGGGGUCGGCGAGGCUCGAUGGAGCCGGUGGGGAAGUGGAGGAGGCCGGCGACGGAUAAGCGGCGCGGUUCCGGCGAGGUAGGCGGUGGUGCAGGGGGCACCGGGACGGUGCAGUCCGGCAGGGAAGCUGGAUGACGGCGGGGUGGCGCGGUGAAGGGGCCCCGGGCCGGUGGUGGUGGCCGGCGAGGGGACGGAGGGCUCGAUGCAGGGGAGCUCCGUAAGCGGAGCUUGCGAGGGGAAAACACAAGGGCUUCGACGGGGGGGUGCUGACGAGGGAAAACGCCGGGGGAGAGCGGACGGGGGGGGGGUGGCUUGUGGGCUGAGGGUGAAGUGAGGGGAGGGCACAGGGCGACGGUGGGGGCCUCGAUCCAGGGAGGAUCGAGGGGAUGGGGGCUGAUGAGGGGAACGGGAGGCAGGUGCUCGAGGGGAUGGGCUUCGGUGGUGGGGCGAUCUGAGGAGGAGAGAGCGCGGGCGCUUGGGGGGCUCGCGAGGGGAGAGGGAGUGGGGCGGCAUGGGGGUUGGUGGGGAUCGAUCUGGGGGUGAGGGUGACGAGGGGGAAGGGAACCGUCCUGGUCCCUCGUGGCUGGCGGCGGGACAGGGAGGAAAUGGGAGGGGGGGCUCGGUUAGGGUUCGCGUGGGGGUCUUAUACCCCCAAGUGGAUGGCCCGGUGGGGUUGGGCCAUGGCCUUUUGGGUUUUUUUUCUUUUUUCCUUUUGUUUUUUUUUAUAGUUUCUGUUUCAAAUAUAUAGGGGUUUUAAAUAAUUUCAAAAAUGUCUGUUUCAACUUUAUAAAUUAUUAGGGAAUUUUUGUAAAUCAUCCGGCAUUUUUAUUUUAACAUUCGAUAACUUUUCUCGUUCGACUUAUUUUUAAAUUUUGAAUUUGACUCGAUUUCGACUAACACGAGAUCAACGAUAGAAAUCACGAGGACGUGGCAUCAUUAGCGUGGGAUCAUUGUAGCUUAAUUACAUAUAUUACUGUAGCAAAAGCUGAGGAUAUCACAGCUCUCCCCUACUAACAAGAAUUCUCGUCCCAAGAAUUAAGAGGUAGAAGGAAAGAGCUCGGGGUAUUCAUCACGAAGAUGAUCCUCGCGUUCCCAAAUGGCCUCAUCUUCAGAAUGAUUUGACCACUGCAUUUUUAAGGAACUUGGUGACUCUACGACGAGUCUAACGCUCAACCUUCAUAUUUUCAGGAAUAAUGUGGACUUGAUCUUAAGCAUGUUGGAUAACAUCUGGACCGAAGAGUGAUCGUUCCAUUGGACGGUGGCUCGGGAAUUUCAUACGAAGCCAAGUGCAAAGGAUACUUUAGAGUCAAAGAUAUACAGGAGAUUCAGGUUUCAAUCUUGUGGAAUUUUGGGUAAUGGGUCCACCAUGUGAGUCGAGAGUAGGCAGAGCGGUGGCAUCUUAUACGGUCUUGGUAGCAAUACAUGUCAGAGGACAGUGUCAGUUAUGUUGGCAACAACGUCGGUACCAAGGGCGGGGAACGAAUAGAACCAUUUUCCUGCUCGCUGAAACGAGGCGGACCAAUAGGCAGGGCUCUCAUCCACCGGCGGCUACCGGAAUGUUAUCCACAAUAGUGACACGGUCUUACUGACAGAGUUGUAUACCGAUGUAUUACUUAAGUAGGGAAUUAACACUGCUUAGAUAAGUUAUGCCACAAGAAAGGUCAAACAGACCAAUGGGAAGGAAAAUGUGUUCACACACAAGUAUUAAAGUAUACCAUUCCCGAGGAAAAUAUAGAGUAUGUUAUACAUGAUAGGUCAUCAAGUACAUAACCAUUUUGAUAAAAGGGCAAGGAGAAUCAUGAUGUUUAUCCAUACCAUACGGUUUGGAUAAUUAAUCGGGAACAAUUUAACAUUGCGCUUCCAAUGUUCCUGUUGACAAUUGAAGUACCACAUUCGUGCUUUGGGGUAGCAUCGACAUGAUCAUCAGAUAAAGGUUGGACUUUGGGUACACAAAGGAUUCGUAAAAAACAACUUAUAAAUAAGCCAUAUAGUUUCCGCAUGGAAGAAUGGCGAAUCUUACAUAUGGAAGAAUUUAUAACAAUAGGUCCUGCAACCCGGUGUGCCAGACAAGACAUCACCGUACCGGGUUACAUCAGACCAAAGUUAUAAUUAUUGGAAAAUGUUCCAACCAUCAUAUCUGCCUGAGAUUCAGAUCUGAUUGGUGUCAGGAUACCUCAGGCUCAGGAUGCCUGAGAAGAAAAGGGUACCACCAAAGUCAGACGAUAUGAUGAUGCAAGAUUCUUGGGAUAUGAACUACGAAAGCAAGUAUUGGAUCAUGACUUGGAUUGUAAGACAUAUGAAACAAUGUCAAGACAUUCGUGCCCACGUGGAAUUGUUACAACACAAUGCAACCGAGUUCUGAUUUGAGAACCAUCAUCGAGGAUAUCAAGGCCCUUGUGCAAGCCUAAAUUAGCUCUUAUGACGAAACUUAAUUUCCUUGAUCAAAUCAAUCAGUGGCUUGGGGUGGUAAGAGAAGUUAUAUGAAGUGAAGAUAGCAAAUCUUCAAAACAUCUAACACUUCGCACAUGCGUGAAUGAUUUGGGAUGUCCAGAGAGGAAGUGAAACAAAACUUUCUCAUAUUCAUGGCGACAAGAGUGCACGUGGACCUUGGGAAAACACUUCUUCUUAUCAAUUAUAUUCCUCAUGAGCUAGGCACAAAGAUAGCGCUUUCAAAAGCUUCAUCAUGAACCAAGGAGAAGUUGAGGGUGUGGCUGGUGGGCUGAACAACAACCCCUCAAGAUUUUGACAGGGUUGAAUUUCUAAAAUUUAUAAUAUCAAGGAGAUAGCAUUUGUCAAGUCAAAUGGUAUAGUGUCGUAUGCUCGAGGGAACAACAACAAUUAAACUUUGGUCUAAGGGUGCAGACGGAAAUAUGGACUAAGUAGCACGAUGAAUGUUAGAAUGGUAAGUCAACAGCCAACACACCAAGAAUGAAACUACCAGUCACUAAUCUUCAAGGCAACAAGGAUGCUAGAAGUAUUGGAAUCACACAUCCAAGUUCACUUGUCGGUGUUCCGGUUAGGAACAACACGGGGACCAAGAAUGAACGGUGAUGGCGAGCAGUAUCACUAUAUUAAGAAUUCUUAAGAGGUGCAAUGAUGCUCACAACAUUCUUGACAUAAAAGAUAGUAAUACUCCAAGGUAGAAGAUAACAUAAGUUGAACUAGCAAAGAACUUAAGGGACAACACAAAACAUGAUCAAGUUUGUGUUGGAGGGAAGGCAAUAAGGUUUGUCGAUGGUAACACAAUCAUCGAGCGGAAAGGGUGGUAGUUCUCAUCGUCAAGAAUAUGAUUGAUACUCUAGAAGAGUUCAGAAUGCUGAUGAUUGAUCAUGACACAUUUGUCAAGAAGUUUCACGAAGAUGUAGUCAUUCAACAACGACGUCAAGCAACAAAAUGAUGAAGCGAAAGGUUGUCGGUGUCAUAGAUAAGACCGCGAACUCCGAAUCGAGAUUGCCUUUCAAGACAACCAACAUGAUAUUGAAAGCCCGAUGUAAGCUUAACGCAUAGUCGGAAAUGUGCUCCAGGGAUGGAGGACAUAGAUAGCAUGGUCAAGCUCUAGUAUGACGAAGAUGAUGUAGCCUAAUAUCUUGGAAAGACAUGAGCGAGUACAAACCCGUAAGCAAAGAAGAUUACAAAGAGUUGUUGGGUCGCCAUGCGUACUCGAUUCAGCUAUUGGUAUUCUUGAGUGUCCAAUAACUCAAAACACGAGGAAACUGGAAUUCAUGGAAUUAUCAUAGUUGAAGAGGAGCUCAUAAUAAGUUAUAUAUCCCCAUGAUAUUUUUGAGAUACCAGGAACAAUACUUGGAGGUAGAUCAACAUUAAAGCUUGGACCGUUGUAUUGAUCUGAAGAAAACAAGUGUUUUAACUUGCGUGAGAAUGAAAUCAAGGUAGGACAACAUGGUCGGAACCAUGAUUGCAAAGUACCAAAUCAAGGAUACAAGAUCAAAUCAUACAACGAAUGAUUAUUGAUGCGAGAAGUUUCUCUGACAGGAUCAACGUCAUUUCCAUGGGCAUGAACACAAAGUUCAAGGUCGACUCCCACUUCAUCAAUGCAUCACCUGCCAUUUACUCCUUGCCUUUGAUGAGGUUGUAGCUUGGAAAGACUAUCCAGCAAAACGCUAGAAGAGUAAGACUCAUGAAAACUCGUCGGAUCAUAUUGUUUUAGGAAGGCAUGGGUUCAACCCAUCGGGGCAUCUUAGGAACAUAUACCACAAACUUCAAGAGUAGUUAACACAUGCUUGACAACAGAGCCUGGCCGACAAAAGCAUAGGAUACAAUUUAUCAGAGGGAGAAAACACAAUUGACCAAUGGCAUCAUGUGUCAAGGGAAGCAUAUCAGAAGAAUUUUUUAAAACAAAGGAUGUCGUCGGAUAAUAACCCAACAAUGAGUUUCACGGUUGCUACCUCUUGAGUUUGCGUUGGUUUUUCCCUUGAAGAGGAAAGCGUGAUGCAGCACAGUAGCAGUAAGUAUUUCCCUCAGUUUGAGAACUAAGGUAUCAAUCCAGUAGGAGUAUCAAGGCAAGUCACCAAUGUACCUGCGCAAAAACAAGCAAACUUUCAUCCAACGCUAUAAAGGGGUUGUCAAUCCCUUCACGAUUAAUUGCAAGGUGAGAUCUGAAGGUGGAAAGUGCAACAAAGUAAAAGUGUAGGGCUGAAAAUAUCAUGUGAAGUAGACCCGGGGGCCAUAGUGUUCACUAGAAGCUUCUCUCAUGAUAGCAAAUAUUACGGUGGGUGAAUGAAUUACUGUCGAUCAAUUGAUAGAACCGCGCAAAGUCAUGAUGAUAUCUAAGGCAAUGAUCAUACAUAUAGGCAUCACGUCCGGGACAAGUAGAUCGAUACUUUCUGCAUCUACUACUAUUACUCCACACAUCGACCGCUAUCCAUCAUGCAUCUAGUGUAUUGAGUUCAUAACAAACAGAGUAACGCCUUAAGCAAGAUGACAUGAUGUAGAGGGAUAAAUUCAUGCAAUAGAUAUAAACCCCAUCUUUUUACCCUUGAUGGCAACAACACGAUGCGUGCCUCGCUACCCCUUCUGUCACUGGGUGAGGACACCGCACAAUAUGAACCCAAAACCAAGCACUUCUCCCAUUGCAAGAAUCAUAGAUCUAGUUGUAUAAGAUCAGGGCACAACUCCAAGUCGUCCUGUAACCGUUGACAGGGCUAUUCGAAUAGAUAAGUUCUUCACUAUAGGGGUGCACAACAUAUUCCCCGUCACGCUCGAUAACACUCUGGCCGGACACACUUUUCUGGGUCAUGCCCGACCUCGUAAUAUCGGCACGUCGCAGCGCCACCUAAGCUCAAGAGAGAGGCCAGCCCGUCGGUCUAACUCCUAAGCACAAAGGGGUCGUGGGCCCACUUGCCCUCUGCGCUCCUACAUGAUGCAAGGGCGGCCGAUGUCAAUCCUAGCACCCCUUAUAACAAGCCGAUGCAUAUCAGGACCACUCGGGCGCGCGCCGCUCCAUUGCUGACGUCUGAAUAGCUUCAGUUGAUACCACGAUGUCAAGUACCCAUAAUUCUGCCCACGCAGACGGUUAGUGCGUAAUAAGGCCUUCUCACCAACCCAGAUCAAAUACCCAAAUCCAUUAUCAUUUUAAUUAAGUAAUCGACACAUCCACGCGGGAAUCCACCUGCCUAACAUCUAUUCAUCAAAGAUCCGAGUAACAUGGUCAAGUAACUGUGUGGUUGUAACAUCACGGGGAUCCGAGGCAUCACCCUCGUUGGAUCCCGAACGAUGUAACCAUCAAGGUGGACUUAGAGGAAUCACCCUCGAGGUUCCCACACUUGAGGGGUUGCACGACCGAGGCAUCGUCGGGAGUAGUGAAGGAGGAACCACCUUCGAUCAUCCUGAGUACUUCGCAAUGUGUCACCCUCGGUACCCGAUAGUAGCUCUGUAGCGCCACACAACUAAGGGGUGUGUGAGUGAUGUGUCGGAUCUAGCUUGUCGAUCAGGGAUCGAGACUUGAUGACAAAGCGGGCCAACUGGACCAAGGGGUGAGAGGGGAUGACUGCUCCACCUAUACUAAGCAGAUUAAAAGUAUAGGAAUGAAAGUAACAGCUCAUCAAAAUUAGGCUAUGCAUCAGAUAUAGGAGCUAACUGCAACAGUAGCCAAAUUCUAAUGCAAGCAGGAGGAAGAAAGACAUAGGCGAUAUAGGGAUGAUCAAGGGGGUUUGCUUGCCUUUUUGGUCUGCAACAAAGGGCUUGUCGUCAGUCUCGGGGUCUACCGGUAAGAAGAGGGGGGAGAAAUAAUAAAUAACAGCAACAGGUGCACCACUAAGCAUGACAUGGCAAUAUGCAGGCUAGGUAUAAGCUAACGCAGUGCUAUCCAUUAUAGACGGGUCGGGAAAAUAUCAGAUAAUAUUUCCCGCAUCUCUGGCUACUAACGGUCGGACGAAAAACAGUGGAAAAGUUCCACGUUUGCUAUGCUAGGGAUACGUGAGAGACGAAUGGACCGCGUAUCCCGGUUCGUUUCGUUCUGCUGAUGAACUUUCAUAUUGAAAAUAUUUUCAUCUAAGUUACGAAUUAUUUUAUAUUAAUUUUCAAAGUUUUAUUAAUAUUUAGGAAUUGUAAGCAGGUUUAAUUAAUUUAGUUAAAUGCUAUUAUGACAUCAUCAUGAUGUCAUGCUGAUAUCAGUAGUUGACUCGUCAAACUAACCAGUGGGUCCCAUGUGUCAUAGACACAAUUUUUAAUUAGGGUUAAUUAUUAAUUAAUCAGACUAAUUUAGUGAGGGACCCAGGUGUCAUAUUCUUUUUGGUUAAAUACUUAUCUAUAUUAACAGAUUUACUUAAUUAUUCUAAUUACUCAUAAUCAUUAUAAUUACCUAAUUAAUUAAUUAUUUAAUUAAUUAAACUAUUUAUUAAAUAUAUUAUUUUUAUUUUAUUUAUUUAACAGAGGGUUGGCCCCACAUGGCAGUGGUCCACACACAACACAACACACACACACUGUGUAUAAAAUAUCUCACAUACACUUAUACACAUUUUUACACACAUCCACAAUAGACAUCAUACAUACAUACAUAUACAUAUACUUGCAUACAUACACAUAUACAUAUAUCCAUUUACUUUCUUUUCUUUUCCUAACAUCUCUUUUCUUUCUUUGUGUUCUACCUCUGUGUUCAUCUCUCUCUCUCUCUCUCUCAAUAGAGAGACAGGAGGCAAAACUCCACCUCCUCCUCUUACAGGAGAUCAACGGCGUCGGGACGAGGCGAUGAACGCCGGAAUGGAACUGGAGGGUGGAAGGAGAGGGAGAGGGGGCGUUCUCACCAACGUUGUAGGGGGGCGGGGUCGGCGAGGCUCGAUGGAGCCGGCGGGGAAGUGGAGGAGGCCGGUGAUGGGGAGGCGGCGCGGAUCCGACGAGGUAGGCGGUGGUGCAGGGGGCGCCGGGGCGGUGCAGUCCGGCGGGGAAGCUGGACGACGGCGGGGUGGCGCGGUGAAGGGGGCCCGGGCCGGUUGUGGUGGCCUGCAAGGGGACGGAGGGCUCGAUGCAGGGGCGACGAGGGGCCGGUCCCGGUGGCUGUGGCCGGCAAGGGGAGCUCCUGAAGCGGAGCUUGCGAGGGGAAAACACAAGGGCUUCGGCGGGGGGUGCUGAUGAGGGAAAACGCCGGGGGAGCGCGAGGGGGGGGGUGGCUCGUGGGUGAUAUGUCUCCAACGUAUCUAUAAUUUUUGAUGGUUUCAUGCUAUUAUCUUGUCAAACUUUGGAUGUUUUGUAUGUGUUUUAUAUCUUUUUUGGGACUAACUUAUUAACUCAGUGCCAAGUGCGAGUUCCUGUUAUUUCCAUGUUUUUGACCCUUUUCAGAGGAGAAUUUUAAACGGAGUCCAAACGGAAUAAAAUCUGCGGAAUGAUUUUUUCCAUAACAGAAGACACGCGGGAGACUUGAGAACCAAGGGAGGAGACCUCGGAGGAGGUCACAAGCCCACCAAGCCCGGCCUAGGGGGGCGGACCUAGCAGGCUUGUGAGCUCCCCGUGGCUCCCCUGCCCUAGGUCUUUCGCCUAUAUAUUCCCCAAAAAUCCCAGAAAAAAUUAGGAGAUCAUCGAAAAUACUUUUCCACCGCCGCAAGCUUCUGUCUCCGCAAGAUCCCAUCUGGGGCACGUUCUGGUGCCCUGCCGGAGGGGGGAUUCGGAUACGGAGGGCUUCUUCAUCAACACCAUGACCUCUCCAAUGAUGCGUGAGUAGUUCACCAUAGACCUACGGGUCCAUAGCUAGUAGCUAGAUGGCUUCUUCUCUCUCUUGGAUCUUCAAUACAAAGUUCUCCAUGAUCUUCAUGGAGAUCUAUCCGAUGUAAUCUUCUUUUGCGGCGUGUUUGUCGAGAUCCGAUGAAUUGUGGAUUUAUGAUCAGAUUAUCUAUGAAUCUUAUUUGAGUUUCUUCUGAUCUCUAAUAUGCAUGAUUUCAUAUCCUCGUAAUUCUCUUUGAGUCGUGGGUUUUGUUUGGCCAGCUUGAUCUAUGAUUCUUGUAAUGGGAUAAGUGCUUGGUUUUGGGUUCAUACCGUGCGGUGACCUCACCCAGUGACAGAAGGGGUAGCGAGGCACGUAUCGUGUUGUUGCCAUCAAGGGUAAAAAGAUGGGGUUUUCAUCAUUGGUUUGAGAUUAUCCCUCUACAUCAUGUCAGCUUGCUUAAGGCGUUACUCUGUUCGUCAUCAACUCAAUACACUAGAUGCAUGCUGGAUAGCGGUCGAUGUGUGGAGUAAUAGUAGUAGAUGCAGAAAGUAUCGGUCUACUUGUCUCGGACGUGAUGCCUAUAUGUAUGAUAAUUGCCUUAGAUAUCGUCAUGACUUUGCGUGGUUCUAUCAAUUGCUCGACAGUAAUUUGUUCACCCACCGUAAUACUUGCUAUUUUGAGAGAAGCCUCUAGUGAGCACUAUGCUCCCCGGGUCUACUCCACACUAUAUUUUUAGCCUUACUCUUUUUCUUCGUUGCACUUUCCGCCUUCAGAUCUCACUUUGCAAUCAAUCUUGAAGGGAUUGACAACCCAUUUAUAGCGUUGGGUGCAAGCUGUUUUGUGUUUGUGCAUGUACUCUGGACUUAACGAGAUUCUCCUACUGGAUUCACCCUUUCCUCUUGAAGGGAAAAACCAACGCAAGCAAGUCUCUGUCAACAUGUCAAUUUCUGGCGCUGUUGUUUGAGAAGUAGCAGAAGGAUUUCUGGCACCGUUGCCAGGGAGGAUCAAGCAAGAACUCAUCCAAGUAAGUGUCGCAAACUCAUCUCUUGCAUUUCCUUUUUAGCCUCUCGUUUUCCUCUCCCCCACUUAUGAAAAAAAAAUAUUUGCUUUUUUUUCGUUUUCCUUUUUCGUUCGCCCUUUUCCUUCGCUUGCUUUCUGUUCGCUUAUGUUGCCAUGUGCCUUCAAUAUGCUUGCAUCUUCGCUUGCUGAAAAUCUAGUGAUAUGGAUCCUCAUCCACUUGCUAGUCUCUUUAAGAGAUCCAAUUAUGUUGAUCCAAUUGCUAGUGAGUUGAGUGCACUUGACUAUCUUUAUGGAGUUUUGCAUGAGAUGCGUGAAUCUAAAAAUUGUGAGGAAGAAAUUUAUGAAGUGAUUCACGAGGGUUCCUUGGGUGAAAAGCAUGAUUGCAAUGGUUUCACUAUAAAUUCUAUUAGUGACAAUCAUGCCAAAAAUAUGCAAAACCCUAAGCUUGGGGAUGCUAGUUUUUUCUAUGUCCUCUGCUUGUUGCAAUGAUCAUGAAUGGGGUGAUGAUUUUUCUUAUGAUCUUGAAAAUUUGUUUAAACCUCAUGAUGAAUAUGAUAUUUGCAAUAUUAUUGAAAGUGGGUUUGGAGAAGUCAUGACUUUGGUUGAUGAUAAUCCCACUAUUUUUGAAGAGCAUGAACUUUGCAUGCAUGUGGAUCAUGAAAAGAAUAUCCUAUGUGAUAGUUACAUUGUUGAAUUCGAAUAUGAUCCCACAUUUAAUUAUUAUGAGAGAGGAAAAUAUGGUGGUAGAAACUUUCAUAUCACUAAGUCACCUCUCGUUAUGUUGAGAUUGCUCUUGUCUCUUUCUUCUUCCUUGCAUUUGGCAGUUAUUGCUUGUCUUAAUAAUUUGUUUUCCUAUAAAAUGCCUAUGCAUAGGAAGUAUGUUAGCCUUAAAUGUGAUUUUUACAUGCUUCAUGAUGCUCUCUUUGUGUCCGAUUGCUAUCUUUUAUGUGAGCAUCAUUGAAUUAUCAAUGCCUAGCUAAGGGCGUUAAACAAUAGCGCUUGUUGGGAGGCAACCCAAUGAAUUUAUCUUUUUCUUUCUGUUUUGUUGCAUCCACACCAUCAUAAUUAUGUUAUGAUUGUGUAUUUUGUGUUUCCUUUUGUGUUUCAGCCAAGCAAAACCUAUAUGACUAGUCUUGGUGAUGGUUGUUUAAUCCUGCUGGAAAAACACAGAAACUUUUCGCUCACGAGAUGAUUUUUCAUUUUUAUUCAGAAAGAGCUUUUGAGAUGAUUCUUUUUACUGCUGGUUUAUAUACCUUUUUCCCAGGAAUUCGUAAUUUUUCAGAAUUUUUGAGGUAACAGACGUAUACGAAGUAUACAGAUUUCUACAGACUGGUCUGUUUUUGACAGAUUCUGUUUUUGUUGAGUUGGUUAGUUGUUUUGAUGAAACUAUAGAUAGUAUCACGGGUACUAGCCAUGGAAAAGUGAUAAUAUAGUAGCCUAACACCAAUAUAGAUAGAAUUCAAGUUUGCUACAGUACUAAAGAGGUGGUAGUUUGUUUUCUUGUGCUAAUGUUAUCACGGGUUUCUGUUUAAGUUUUUGUUGUGAAGUUUUCAAGUUUUGGGUGAUGUUCUCAUGGACAAAGAGAUAAGGAGUGUAAAGAGCUCAAGCUUGGGGAUGCCCAAGGCAUCUCAAGCCAAAUUCAAGGACACCAAAAAGCCUAAGCUUGGGUAUGCCCCGGGAAGGCAUCCCCUCUUUCGUCUUCAAUCCAUCGGUAACAUUACUUGGAGUUAUAUUUUUAUUCACCACAUGAUAUGUGUUUUGCUUGGAGCGUCUUGUAUCUUAGGAGUCUUUUCUUUUUGUUGUGUCACAGUCAUCCUUGCUGCACACCUUUUGAGAGAGACAUGCACUCAUCGUGAGUUUGCUAGAAUGCUCAUCGUGCUUCACUAAUAUCUUUUGAGCUAGAUAAUUUUGCUCUAUGUGCUUCACUUAGAUCUUUUAGAGCACGGCGGUGCGUGACUUGGUAGUUGGUUUAUGCUAUGAAAGUAGUCCCGAAGGUGAUAGGUACCCAAAGAGGAUACAAAAACCUCCAUCUUCAUGUGCAUUGAGUAUAAAGAGAAGUCUUGAUUCCUCUCAAUUAGUUUUGAGACAUGGAUUUGGUAAUAUCAAGAGUUAUGUUAUUAGGGUGUUGUGAAUCUAGAAAUACUUGUGUUGAAGUUAGUGAUUCCCGUAGCAUGCACGUAUGGUGAACCGCGAUGUUAGGAAGUCGGAGCAUAAUUGAUCUAUUGAUUGUCAUCCUUUGUGUUGAGGUCGGGAUCGCGCGAUGGUUAACACCUACCAACCCUUCCCCUAGGAGUAUGCGUUUAGCACUUUGUUUCGAUUACUAAUAAAAACUUUCACAACAAGUAUGUGAGUUCUUCAUGACUAAUUUGAGUCCAUGGAAUAGAUGCACUUUCACCUUCCACCGUUGCUAUCCUCUAUAGUACCGAGCAAUUCUCGCCGGUGCACAAACCCACCAUAUGCCUUCCUUAAAACAGCCACCAUACCUACCUACCAUGGCAAUUUCAUAGCCAUUCCGAGAUAUAUUGCCAUGCAACUCCCACCGUUCCAUCUCAUGACUUGUGCCGUCACUCUCAUAUUGCCAUUGCAUGAUCGUAAGAUAGCUAGCGAGAUGUUUCAACGUCAUACGCCAAGCUAGAUCGUUGCACAUCCUGGUACACUGCCGGAGGCAUUUCCUAUAGAGUCGUCAUCGUUCUAAGCUUUGAGCUGUGAGUAAAUAAAAGUGUGAUGAUCAUCACUAUUAGAGCAUUGUCCCAUGUGAGGAAAUAAAAAAAGAGGCCAAAGAGCCCAAAUAAAAAAAGAGAAGAGAAAAAAAGGCCCAAGAGCCCAAAUAAAAAAAAUAGAGAGAAAAAGAGAGAAGGGACAAUGCUACUAUCUUUUUCCACACUUGUGCUUCAUAAUAGCACCAUGUGCUUCAUGAUUGAGAGUCUCUCAUUUCAUCACUACCAUAUGCUAGUGGGAAUCUUUGUUAUAUAACUUGGCUUGUAUAUUCCAAUGAUGGGCUUCCUCAAAAUUGCCCUAGGUCUUCGUGAGCAAGCAAGUUGGAUGCACACCCACUAGUUAUCCUUUUGAGCUUUCGCAUACUUAUAGAUCUAAUGCAUCAUUUGUAUGUCAAUCCCUACUCAUUCACAUUGAUAUCUAUUAAUGGGCAUCUCCAUAGCCCUUUGAUAUGCCGAGUCAAUAUGACCAGCUCCUCCUUUUUGUCUCACAACCACCACCACACUCUAUUCCACCUAUAGUGCUAUAUCCAUGGCUCACGCUCAUGUAUUGCUUGAUAGUUAUAAUUUUUUUGAGAAAGUAAGAGUGCGAAAACAAUUACUUGGCCAAUACCGGGGUUGUGCAUGAUUUAAAUUAGUUGUGUGAGGAUGACGGAGCAUGGCCAGACUAUAUGGUUUUGUAGGGAUAACUUUCUUUGGCCUUGUUAUUUUGAAAGUUCAUGAUUACCUUGCUAGUUUGCUUGAAGUACUAUUGUUUUCAUGUCAAUAGCAAACUAUUGUUUUGAAUCUUACGGAUCUGAACAUUCAUGUCACAUGAAAGAAGUUGGAAAGGACAACUAUGCUAGGUAGCAUUCCACAUCAAAAAAUUAGUCUUUAUCAGUUCCCUACUCGAGGACGAGCAGGAGUUAAGCUUGGGGAUGCUUGAUACGUCUCCAACGUAUCUAUAAUUUGUGAUGGUUUCAUGAUAUUAUCUUGUGUAACUUUGGAUGUUUUGUAUGCCUUUUAUAUCUUUUUUGGGACUAACUUAUUAACUCAGUGCCAAGUCCCAGUUCCUGUUUUUUCCGUGUUUUUGACCCUUUUCAGAGGAGAAUUUUAAACGGAGUCCAAACGGAAUAAAAUAUGUGGAAUGAUUUUUUCCAUAACACAAGACACAUGGAGACUUGAGAACCAAAGCACGAGACCUCGGAGGAGGUCACAAGCCCACCAGGCCCGGCCUAGGGGACCGGGCCUAGCAGGCUUGUGAGCUCCCCAUGGCUCCCCUGCCCUAGGUCUUUCGCCUAUAUAUUCCCUAAAAUACCAGAAAAAAAUCAGGAGAUCAUCGAAAAUACUUUUCCGUCGCCGCAAGCUUCUGUCUCCGCAAGAUCCCAUCUGGGGCACGUUCUGGUGCCCUGCCGGAGGGGGGAUCCGGACACGGAGGGCUUCUUCAUCAACACCAUUGCCUCUCCGAUGAUGCGUGAGUAGUUCACAACAGACCUUCGGGUCCAUAGCUAGUAGCUAGAUGGCUUCUUCUCUCUCUUGGAUCUUCAAUACAGAGUUCUCCAUGAUCUUCAUGGAGAUCUAUCCGAUGUAAUCCUAUUUUGCGGUGUGUUUGUCGAGAUCCGAUGAAUCUUGGAUUUAUGAUCAGAUUAUCUAUGAAUCUUAUUUGAGUUUCUUCUGAUCUCUUAUAUGCAUUAUUUCAUAUCCUUGUAAUUCUCUUCGAGUUGUGGGUUUCGUUUGGCCAACUUGAUCUAUAAUUCUUGCAAUGGGAGAAGUGCUUGGUUUUGGGUUCAUACCAUGCGGUGACCUCACCCAGUGACAGAAGGGGUAGCAAGGCACGCAUCGUGUUGUUUCCAUCAAGGGUAAAAAGAUGGGGUUUAUAUCUAUUGCAUGAAUUUAUCCCUCUACAUCAUGUCAUCUUGCUUAAGGCGUUACUCUGUUUGUUUUGUACUCACUACACUAGAUGCAUGCUGGAUAGCGGUCGAUGUGUGGAGUAAUAGUAGUAGAUGCAGAAAGUAUCGGUCUACUUGUCUCGUACGUGAUGCCUAUAUGUAUGAUCAUUGCCUUAGAUAUCGUCAUGACUUUGUGCGGUUCUAUCAAUUGCUCAACAGUAAUUUUUUCACCCACCGUAAUACUUGCUGUCUUGAGAGAAGCCUCUAGUGAACACUAUGGCCCCCGGGUCUACUUCACAUUAUAUUUUCAGCCUUAGACUUUUACUUUGUUGCACUUUCCGCCUUCAGAUCUCACCUUGCAAUCAAUCGUGAAGGGAUUGACAAAUCCUUUGUAGCAUUGGGUGCAAGUUUGCUAUUUUUGCGCAGGUACUUUGGGCACUUGGCUUGAUACUCCUAAUGGAUUGAUACCUUGGUUCUCAAACUGAGGAAAAUACUUACUACUACUGUGCUGCAUCACCCUUUCCUCUUAAAGGGAAAAACCAACGCAAGCUCAAGAGGUAGCAAGAAGAAUUUCUGGCGCCGUUGCCGGGGAGCAUCAAGUCAAGAAUAGUCUUCCUCCAAUGUGUCAAUUUCUGGCACCGGGGAUUAUUCUAAGUGAAGCUUAUCCAAGUAACUGUCGCAAACUCAUCUCUUGCAUUUAAUUUUUUGCCUCUCGUUUUCCUCUCCCCCACUUCUGAAAAACAAAAAUUUACAAAAAUAUUUGCCUUUUUCGUUUGCCCUUUUCUUUCGCUUGCUUUCUGUUCGCUUGUGUGCUUGUCUGCUUGCUAAAGUCACCAUGACUGAAAACACCAAACUUUGUGACUUCUCGAAUACUAAUAAUAAUGAUUUUAUUAGUACUCCGAUUGCUCCCGCCACUAGUGCGGAAUCAUACGAAAUCAAUGUUGCUUUGCUGAAUCGUGUUAUGAAAGAGCAAUUCUCUAGCCUUCCUAGUGAAGAUGUCGCAUCCCAUCUUAAUACCUUCAUUAAGUUAUGCAAUAUUGCUACGGCAAGAAAAGUCCUUCAUUAAUAUAUAUUGUGAUCUAUAUAUUCACACAUGUAUUACGGUUUCUAGUUAAUACAAUUAUAGCAUGAAUAAUAGACAAUUAUCAUGAACUGGAAAUAUAAUAAUAACAACUUUAUUAUUGCCUCUAGGGCAUAUUUCCAACAGUCUCCCACUUGCACUAGAGUCAAUAAUCUAUUUACAUUGUGAUGAAUCAGACACCCAUAGAGUUCUCGUGCUGAUCAUGCUUUGCACGUGGAAGAGGUUUAGUCAACGGGUCUGCGACAUUCAGAUCCGUAUGUACUUUACAAAUAUAUAUAUAUCUCCAUUCUGGAUGUAUCCACGAAUGGAGUAGAAGCGGCGCUUGAUGUGCUUGGUCUUCUUGUGAAACCUGGGCUCGUUUGCAAUAGCAAUAGCUCCAGACUUGUCAUAGAAUAGAGUCAUCAGGCCUGACGCACCGGGAAUCACUCCAAGGUCGGUGAUGAACUCCUUCAUCCAGCCUCCUUCAUGUGCUGCUUCUGAAGCACCUAUGUACUCCGCUUCACAUGUAGAUGCUGCCACGACGCUUUGCUUGCAACUGCACCAGCUAACUGCCCCAUUAUUCAAAACAUACACGUAUCCGGUUUGUGACUUGGAGUCAUCCGGAUCUGUGUCGAAGAUAUCAUCGACGUAACCCUUUACAACGACUCUUCGGCACCUCCAUAAACGAGAAACAUAUCUUUAGUCCUUUUCAAGUACUUAAGGAUGUUCUUGACCGCUGUCCAGUGAUCCACUCAUGGAUCACUCUGGUACCUCCCUACCAAACUUAUGGCAAGGUUCACAUCAGGUUUGGUACAUAGCAUGGCAUACAUGAUAGAGCCUAUGGCUAAAGCAUAGGGGACUGUACUUAUCUUUUCUCUAUCUUCGGUCGUGUUCGGUCGUUGAGUCGCACUCAACCUCACACCUUGUAAUACAAGCAAUAACCCCUUCUUAGCAUUCUCCGUAUUGGACUUCUUCAAUAUCUUUUCAAGGUAUGUGCUUUGUGAAAGACCUAUGAGGCAUCUCGAUCUAUCUCUAUAGAUCUUGAUGCCUAAUAGGUAAACAGCUUCUCCAAGGUCCUUCAUUGAAAAACUCUUAUUCAAAACGGCUUUUAUGCUUUCCAAUAGUUCUAUAUAAUUUCCCGUCAAUAAUAUGUCAUCCAAAUAUAAUAUGAGAAAUGCUACAAAGCUCCCACUCACUUUCUUGUAAAUACAGGCUUCUCCAUAAGUUUGUAUAAACCCAAACGCUUUGAUCACCUCAUCAAAGCGAAUGUUCCAACUCCGAGAUGCCUUGUUAGCAUUACUAGGAUCGACAAAACCUUCCGGCUGUAUCAAAUACAAUUCUUCUUUAAGAAAGUCGUUCAGGAAUGUUGUUUUGAUGUCUAUUUGUCAGAUUUCAUAAUCAUAAAAUGCGGCAAUUGCUAACAUGAUUCGGACCGACUUCAGCAUCGCUACGGGUGAGAAAGUCUCAUCGUAGUCAAUCCCUUGAACUUUUCGAUAACCCUUAGCGGCAAGUCGAGCCUUAUAGAUGGUCACAUUACCAUCCGCGUCAGUCUUCUUCUUAAAAAUCCAUUUAUUUUCUAUGGCUCUCCGAUCAUCGGGCAAGUCCACCAAAGUCCAUACUUUGUUCUCAUACAUGGAUUCUAUCUCGGAUUUCAUGGCCUCAAGCCAUUUGUCGGAAUCUGGGCCCACCAUCGCUUCUUCAUAGUUCGGAGGUUCAUUGUUGUCCAACAACAUGAUUUCCGUGACAGGUUGUCGUACCACUUUGGUGCAGAACGUACCCUUGUAGACCUUCGAGGUUCAAUAGCAACUUGAUCCGAAGUGUCAUGAUCAUCAUCAUUAACUUCAUCUCUAGCCGGUGUGGGCGCCUCAGAAACAUUUUCUUGCGCUACCCUACUCUCCGGUUCAAGAGGAGGUACUAUUACCUCAUCAAGUUCUAUUUGCCUCCCACUUACUUCUUUCGAGAGAAACUCUUUCUCUAGAAAGGACCCGUUCUUGGCAACAAAGAUCUUGCCUUCGGAUCUAAGAUAUAAGGCGUACCCAAUAGUUUCCUUAGGGUAUCCUAUGAAGACGAAUUUUUCCGCUUUGGGUUCGAGCUUCUCUGGUUGAAGUUUCUUCACAUCAGCAUCGCAGCCCCAAACUUUAAGAAACAACAACUUAGGUUUCUUGCCAAACCAUAAUUCAUACAGUGUCGUCUCAACGGAUUUAGACGGUGCCCUAUUUAAAGUGAAUGCGGAAGUUUCCAAUGCAUAUCCCCAAAAUGAUAGCGGUAAAUCGGUAAGAGACAUCAUAGAUCGCACCAUAUCCAAUAAAUUGUGAUUACGACGUUCAGACACACCGUUACGCUGCCGUGUGCUAGUCGGCGUGAGUUGUGAAACAAUUCCACAUUUCCUUAGGUGUGUGCCAAACUCGUGACUCAAAUAUUCUCCUCCACGAUCAGAUCGUAGAAACUUUAUUUUCUUGUCACAUUGAUUCUCCACCUCACUCUGAAAAUCCUUGAACUUUUCAAAGGUUUCAGACUUGUGCUUCAUUAAGUGGACAUACCCAUAUCUACUUAAAUCAUUAGUGAGGGUGAGAACAUAAUGAUAGCCACCGCGAGCCUCAACACUCAUUAGACCACAUACAUCGGUAUGUAUUAUUUCCAAUAAGUUGGUUGCUCGCUCCAUUGUUCCGGAGAACGGAGUCUUGGUCAUCUUGCCCAUGAGGCACGGUUUGCAUGUGUCAAAUGAUUCAAAAGCAAGUGACUCCAAAAGUCCAUCUGUAUGGUGUUUCUUCAUGCGCUUUACGCUGCUAUGACUAAGGCGGCAGUGUCACAAGUAUGUGGGACUAUCAUUAUCAACCUUACACCUUUUGGUACUCGCACUAUGAAUAUGUGUAACAUCACGUUCGAGAUUCAUCGGGAAUAAACCAUUGACCAGUCGGGCAUGACCAUAAAACAUACAACUCACAUAAAUAGAACAACCAUUAUUCUCAUAUUUAAAUGAGUAGCCAUCUUGCAUCAAGCGAGAUCCCAAUACAAUGUUCAUGCUCAAAGAUGGUACUAAAUAACAAUUAUUAAGGUUUAAAACUAAUCCGAAGGUAGACGUAGAGGUAGCGUGCCGACGACGAUCACAUCGACCUUGGAACCAUUCCCGGCGCGCAUCGUCACCUCGUCCUUAGCCACCCUACGCUUGUUCCGCAGUUCCUGCUUAGAGUUGCAAAUGUGAGCAACAUCACCGGUAUCAAAUACCCAGGAGCUACUACGAGCGCUGGAAAGGUACACAUCAAUAACAAGUAUAUUACAUACACCUUUGAUGUUGUCGGCCUUGUUGUCCACUAAGUACUUGGGGCAAUUCCGCUUCCAGUGACCGGUUCCCUUGCAGUAAUAGCACUCAGUCUCAGGCUUAGGUCCUUUCUUUGGCUUCUUCCUGGUAACUGGCUUAAGAGGCGCGGCAACUGCUUUUCCGUCUUUCUUGAAGCUUUUCUUACCCUUGCCCUUCUUGAAACUGGUGGUCUUAUUGACCAUCAACACUUGAUGCUCUUUCUUGAUUUCUACCUCCGCAGAUUUCAGCAUUGAAUACAACUCGGGAAUACUUUUUUCCAUCCCUUGCAUGUUGUAAUUCAUCACAAUGCCUUUAUGGCUAGGUGGAAGCGACUACAUGAUUCUGUCAAUGACCGCAUCAUUCGUAAGUUCAACUCCCAGCUGAGUCAAGCGGUUGUGCAACCCAGACAUUCUGAGUAUGUGCUUACUGACAGAACCAUUCUCCUCCAUCUUACAGCUAAAGAACUUGUCAGAGACUUCAUAUCUCUUGACCCGUGCAUGAGCUUGAAAAGCAAGUUUCAGCUCCUCAAACAUCUCAUAUGCUCCGUGUGGCUCAAAACGCCUUUGAAGGCCCAGUUCUAAACUGUAAAGCAUGUCGCACUGAACAAGAGAGUAGUCAUCACUCCGCAACUGCGAGGCGUUCCUAGAGUCCUGGUAUGUCGGGGAACGGGAGGAUCACCUAGCGGUGCAUCAAGUACACAUGCCUUCUUGGAAGCCAUGAGGAUGAGCUUCAAGUUACGAGCCCAAUCCGCAUAAUUGCUACCAUCGUCUUUCAGCUUGGUUUUCUCUAGGAAUGCAUUGAAGUUGAAUGGGACAUUUGCGUUGGCCAUUCGAUCUACAAUAUUUGUAAAGACAAUUUUUAGACUAAGUUCAUGAUAAUUAAGCUCAUCUAAUAAAAUUACUAAUGAACUUCCAAUUAGAUCGACAACCCUCUAGUCAUCCAAGUGUUACAUGAUCCACGUCGACUAGCCCGUGUCCGAUCAUCACAUGAGACAGACUAGUCAUCAAUGGUGAGCAUCUCCAUGCUGAUCGUAUCAGCCAUACGACUCAUGUUCGAUCUUUUGGUCUCCCAUAUUCGAGGCCAUGUCUGUACAUGCUAGGCUCAUCGAGUCAACAUAGGUGUUUUGCGUGUGUAAACUGGCUUACACCCGUUGUAUGUGCUACGGCAACAGAUAACAGUGCCAGAGAUUGGCACGUUGACGGAGACUGGGCUUGCGUUGGUUUUCCCUUGCAGAGGAAAGGGUGGUGCAGCAUAGGAGCAGUAAGUAUUUCCUUCAGUUUGAGAUCCAAGGUAUCAAUCCAGUAGGAGAAUCUCGUCAAGUCCAGAGUACCUGCGCAAACACAAACGAGCUUGCAGCCAACGCUAUAACUGGGUUGUCAAUCCCUUCAAGAUUGAUUGCAAAGUGCGAUCUGAAGGCGGAAAGUGCAACGAAGUAAAAGAGUAAGGCUCAAAAUAUGGUGUGAAGUAGAGUCGGGGGCCAUAGUGUUCACUAGAGGCUUCUCUCAAAAUAGCAAAUAUUACGGUGGGUGAACAAAUUAGUGUUGAGCAAUUGAUAGAACCGCGCAAAGUCAUGACGAUAUAUAAGGCAAUGAUCAUACAUAUAGGCAUCACGUCCGAGACUAGUAGACCGAUACUUUCGGCAUCUACUACUAUUACUCCACACAUCGACCGCUAUCCAACAUGCAUCUAGUGUAUUGAGUUCAUGACGAACAGAGUAACGCCUUAAGCAAGAUGACAUGACGUAGAGGGAUAAACUCAAACCAAUGAUGAAAAUCCCAUCUUUUUAACCUUGAUGGCAACAACACGAUGCGUGCCUCGCUACCCCUUCUCUCACUGGGUGAGGUCACCUCACGGUAUGAACCCAAAACCAAGCACUUCUCCCAUUGCAAGAAUCAUAGAUCAAGUUGGCCAAACAAAACCCACAAAUCGAAGAGAAUUACAAGGAUAUGAAAUCAUGCAUAUAAGAGAUCAGAAGAAACUCAAAUAAGAUUCAUAGAUAAUCUGAUCAUAAAUCCACAAUUCAUCGGAUCUCGACAAACACACCGCAAAAGAAGAUUACAUCGGAUAGAUCUCCAUGAAGAUCAUGGAGAACUUUGUAUUGAAGAUCCAAGAGAGAGAAGAAGCCAUCUAGCUACUAGCUCUGGACCCGUAGGUCUACGGUGAACUACUCACGCAUCAUUGGAGAGGUCAUGGUGUUGAUGAAGAAGCCUUUCGUAUCCGAAUCCCCCCUCCGGCAGCGCACCAGAACAUGCCCCAGAUGGGAUCUUGCGGAGACAGAAGCUUGCAGCGGCGAAAAAGUACUUUUGAUGAUCUCCUGAUUUUUUCUGGGAUUUUAGGGAAUAUAUAGGCGAAGGAGCUAGGGAAGAGGAGGCCCAGGGAGCCCACAAGCCUGGGUGGCGCGGGCCCCCCUGGCCGUGCCAUGAGGGCUUGUGGGGUCCCUGGUGACCCUCUGCCUUGGUUCUCAAGUCUCCCAAUCGUCUUCUGUUUCGGAAAAAAUCUUUUUGGAAGUUUUAUUCCAUUUGAACUCCGUUCAAAAUCCUCCUCUAAAAAGGGUCAAAAACACGGAAAAAACUGGAAUUGGCACUUGGCACUGACUUAAUAAGUUAGUCCCAAAAAAGAUUAAAAAAAGGCAUACAAAACAUCCAAAGUGUGACAAGAUAAUAGCAUGAACCAUCAAAAAUUAUAGAUACGUUGGAGACGUAUCAAGCAUCCCCAAGCUUAACUCCUUCUCGUUCUAGAGUAGGGAAGUGAUAAAGACUGAAUUUUUGAUGUGGAAUGCUACCUAGCAUAGUUGUCCUUUGUAACUUCUUUCAUGUGACAUGAAUGUUCAGAUCUGUAAGAUUCAAAACAAUAGUUUGCGAUUGACAUGAAAACAAUAAUACUUCAAGAAAACUAGCAAGGUAAUCAUGAACUUACAAAAUAACAAGGCCAAAGAAAGUUAUGACUACAAAAUCAUAUAGUCUGGCUAUGCUCCAUCAUCCCCACACAACUAAUUUAAAUCAUGCACAACCCCGGUAUUGGCCAAGUAAUUGUUUUUGCAUUCUUACUUUCUCAAACUUUUUUACAACUAUCACGCAAUACAUGAGCGUGAGCCAUGGAUAUAUCACUAUAGGUGGAAUAGAGUGUGGUGGUGGUGGUUGUGAUACAAAAAGGAGGAGAUGGUCACAUUGACUCAGCGUAUCAAAGGGCUAUGGACAUUCCCAUUAAUAGAUAUCAAUGUGAAUGAGUAGGGAUUGCCAUACAAAGGAUGCACUAGAGCUAUAAGUAUGUGAAAGCUCAAAAGGAGAACUAGUGGGUGUUCAUCCAACUUGCUUGCUCAUGAAGACCUAGGGCAAUUUGAGGACGCCCAUCAUUGGAAUAUACAAGCCAAGUUAUAUAAUAAAGAUUCCCACUAGAAUAUGGUGGUGACGAAACGAGAGGCUCUCAAUCAUGAAGAACAUGGUUAUAUUAUGAAGCACAAGUGUAGGAAAAAGAUAGUAGCAUUCUCCCUUCUCUCUUUUUCUCUCUUAUUUUAUUUUAUUUGGCUCUUUGGCCUUCUUUUUCUCUUCUUUUUUUUAUUUGGGAUCUUUGGCCUCUCUUUUUUCCUCACACGGGACAAUGCUAUAAUAAUGAUGAUCAUCACACUUUUAUUUACUCACAGCUCAAAGCUCAGAACGAUGAUGAAUGUAUAGAAAAUGCCUCUGGCAGUGUAUCGGGAUGUGCAACGAUCUAGCUUGGCGUAUGACGUUGAAACAUCUCGCUAGCUAUCUUAGGAUCAUGCAAUGGCAAUAUGAGAGUGAUGGCACAAGUCCUGAGACGGAACGGUGGGAGUUGCAUGGCAAUAUAUCUCAGAAUGGCUAUGAAAAUGCCAUAGUAGGUAGGUAUGGUGGCUGUUUUGAGGAAGGUAUAUGGUGGGUUUGUGCACCGGUGAAAAUUGCACGGUACUAGAGAGGCUAGCAAUGGUGGAAGGUGAAAGUGCAUCUAUACCAUGGACUCACAUUAGUCAUGAAGAACUCACAUACUUGUUGAGAAAAAAUUUAUUAGUAAUCGAAACAAAGUGCUAAACGCAUACUCCUAGGGGGAGGGUUGGUAGGUGUUAACCAUCGCGCGAUCCCGACCGCAACACAAAGGAUGACAAUCAAUAGAUUAAUUAUACUCCGACUUCCUAACAUAGCCGUUCACCAUACGUGCAUGUUACGGGAAUCACUAACUUCAACACAAGUAUUUCUAGAUUCACAACACCCUACUAACAUAACUCUUAAUAUUACCAAAUCCACGUCUCAAAACUAAUUGAGAGGAAUGAGACUUCUCUUUCUACUCAAUGCACAUGAAGAUGGAAGUUUUUUUGUAUCCUCUUUGGGUACCUAUCACCUUUGGGACUACUUUCAUAGCACAAGGAAACUACCAAGUUACGCACCGCCGUGCUCUAAAAGAUCUAAGUGAAGCACAUGGAGCAAAAUUAUCUAGCUCAAAAUAUAUAAGUGAAGCAUGAUGAGCAUUCUAGCAAAAUCACGAUGAGUACAUGUCUCUCUCAAAAGGUGUGCAGCAAGGAUGAUUGUGACACAACAAAAAGAAAAGACUCCUAUGAUACAAGACACUCCAAGCAAAACACAUAUCAUGUGGUGAAUAAAAAUAUAGCUCCAAGUAAUGUUACCGAUGGAUUGAAGACGAAAGAGGGGAUGCCUUCUCGGGGCAUCCCCAAGCUUAGGCUUUUUGGUGUCCUUGAAUUUGGCUUGGUAUGCCUUGGGCAUCCCCAAGCUUGAGCUCUUUCCACUCUUUAUCCCUUUGUCCAUGAGAACAUCACCCAAAACUUGAAAACUUCACAACACAAAACUUAAACAGAAACUCGUGAUAUCAUUAGCACAAGAAAACAAACGACCACCUCUUUAGGUACUAUAGCAAUCUUGAUUUCUAUUUAUAUUGGUGUUAGAUUACUGUAUUCUCACUUUUCCAUGGCUAGUACCCCCCGAUACUAUCCAUAGUUUCAUCAAAACAAGCAACCAACUCAAUAAAAACAGACCAGUUUGUAGCAAUCCGUAUACUUUGUAUACUUCUGGUACUUCAAAAAUUCUGAACAAUUAUGAAUGCCUGGGAAAAAUGCAUAUCAACCAGCAGCAAAAAGAAUCAACUCAAAAUCUCUUUAUGAAUAAAAAUGAAAAAUAAUCUCGUGAGCGAAAAGUUUCUGUCUUUUUCCAGCAGGAUCAAACAACCAUCACCAAGACUAGUCAUAAAGGUUUUGCUUGGCUCAAACACAAAAGGAAACACACACAAAACACAAUAAUAACAGACUUAUGAUGGUGUGGACGCAACAAAACAGGAAAAAAAAGAUAAAUUCAUUGGGUUGCCUCCCAACAAGCGCUAUUGUUUAACACCCUUAGCUCUAGGAAUUGAUAAAUCAAUGAUGCUCACACAAAAGACAAGAAUCGAAGCACAACGAGAGCAUCAUAAAGCAUGUGAAAAUCACAUCUAAGUCUAACAUACUUCUUAUGCAUAGGAAUUUUAUAGGAGAACAAAUUGGCAAGACAACCAAUAGUUACUAAAUGCAAGGAUGAAGAAAGAGACAAUAGCAAUCUCAACAAAAUGAGAGGUAAUUUGGUAACAUGAAAGUUUCUACCACAAUAUUUUCCUCUCUCAUAGCAAUUACAUGUGGGAUCGUAAUCAAAUUCAACAAUAUAGCUAUCACAAAGGAUAUUCUUUUCAUGAUCCACAUGCAUGCAAAGUUGACGCUCUUCAAAAAUAGUGGGAUUAUCAUCAACUAAAGCCAUGACUUCUCCAAACCCACUUUCAAUAUUAUUGCAAAUAUCAUAAUCAUGAUGAGGCUUGAACAAAUUUUAAAGAUCAUAAGAAAAAUCAUUACCCCAAUCAUGAUCAUUGCAACAAGUAGUGGACAAAGCAAAACUAGCAUCCCUAAGCUUAGGGUUUUGCAUAUUUUUAGCAUGAUUGUCACUAAUAGAAAUUAUAGUGAAACCAUUGCAAUCAUGAUUUUCAUCCAAGGAACCUCGUGAAUUACUUCAUAAAAUUUUUCCUCACAAUUUUCAGAUUCACGCAUCUCAAGCAAAACUCCAUAAAGAUAGUCAAGUGCACUCAACUCACUAUCAAUUGGAUCAACAUAACUCGAUCUCUUAAAGAGAUUAGCAAGUGGAUGAGGAUCCAUAUUAAUAGAUUUUCAGCAAGCGAAGAUGCAAGCAUAUGGAAGGCACAUGGAGACACAAGCAAACAGAAAGCAAGCUAAAGAUAGGGCGAACGAAAAAGGCAAAAUGAAAAAGGCAAAAAAAUGUAAAUUUUUGUUUUUUAGAAGUGGGGGAGAGGAAAACGAGAGGCAAAAAAGUAAAUGCAAGAGAUGAGUUUGCGGCACUUACUUGGAUGAGUUCUUGACUUGAUCCUCCCCGACAACGGCGCCAGAAAUUCUUCUGCUACGGCAAUAGACAACAGUGCCAAAGAUUGGCACAUUGACGGAGACUGGGCUUGCGUUGCCGGGAGUAAGUAUUUCCCUGGUGCAGCACAGGAGCAGUAACUAUUUCCCUCAGUUUGAGAACCAAGGUAUCAAUCCAGUAGGAGAAUCUCGUCAAGUCCAGAGUACCUGCGCAAACAGAAACGAGCUUGCAUCCAAUGCUAUAAAGGGGUUGUCAAUCCCUUCAAGAUUGAUUGCAAAGUGAGAUUUGAAGGCGGAAAGUGCAACGAAGUAAAAGAGUAAGGCUGAAAAUAUGGUGUGAAGUAGACCCGGGGUCCAUAGUGUUCACUAGAGGCUUCUCUCAAAAUAGCAAAUAUUACGGUGGGUGAACAAAUUACUGUUGAGCAAUUGAUAGAACCCCGCAAAGUCAUGACGAUAUCUAAGGCAAUGAUCAUACAUAUAGGCAUCACGUCCGAGAUAAGUAGACCGAUACUUUCUGCAUCUACUACUAUUACUCCACACAUCGACUGCUAUCCAGCAUGAAUCUAGUGCAUUGAGUUCAUGACGAACAGAGUAACGCCUUAAGCAAGAUGACAUGAUGUAGAGGGAUAAACUCAAACCAAUGAUGAAAACCCCAUCUUUUUACCCUUGAUGGCAACAACACGAUGCAUGGCUCACUACCCCUUCUGUCACUGGGUGAGGUCACCGCAAGGUAUGAACCCAAAACCAAGCACUUCUCCCAUUGCAAGAAUCAUAGAUCAAGUUGGCCAAACAAAACCCACAACUCGAAGAGAAUUAGAAGGAUAUGAAAUCAUGCAUAUAAGAGAUCAGAAGAAACUCAAAUAAGGUUCAUAGAUAAUCUGAUCAUAAAUCCACUAUUCAUCGGAUCUCGACAAAGACACCGCAAAAGAAGAUUACAUCGAAUAGAUCUCCAUGAAGAUCAUGGAGAACUUUGUAUUGAAGAUCCAAGAGAGAGAAGAAGCCAUCUAUCUACUAGCUAUGGACCCGUAGGUCUAUGGUCAACUACUCACGCAUCAUUGGAGAGGUCAUGGUGUUGAUGAAGAAGCCCUCCGUAUCCGAAUCCCCCCUCCGGCAGGGCACCAGAACGUGCCCCAGAUGGGAUCUUGCGGAGGCAGAAGCUUGCGGUGGCGGAAAAGUACUUUUGAUGAUCUUCUGAUUUUUUCUGGGAUUUUAGGGAAUAUAUAGGCGAAGGAGCUAGGGCAGAGGAGGCCCAGGGAGCCCACAAGCCUGGGAGGCGCGGGCCCCCCUGGCUGCGCCAUGAGGGCUUGUGGGGUCCCUGGUGACCCUCUGCCUUGGUUCUCAAGUCUCCGGGUCGUCUUCUGUUUUAGAAAAAAUCUUAUCUGAAGUUUUAUUCCGUUUGGACUCCGUUCAAAAUCCUCCUCUGAAAAGGGUCAAAAACAUGGAAAAAACAGGAACUGGCACUUGGCACUGAGUUAAUAAGUUAGUCCCAAAAAAGAUAAAAAAGGCAUACAAAACAUCCAAAGUUUGACAAGAUAAUAGCAUGAGACCAUCAAAAAUUAUAGAUACGUUGGAGACAUAUGAGUAUGCGAACGUUAGAAUCUAUCGCACCCAAUCAUCACGUGGUUAUUAGAGACAACGAACCUUCGCAACGGUGCACACUUAGGGGAAUACUUAUCUCAAAAUUUUAAUGAGGGAUCAUCUUAUCUUUGCUACCAUCAUUCUAAGAAAUAAGAUGAAAAACAUGAUAAACAUCACAUCCAAUCAUAUAGUGACAUGAUAUGGCCAAUAUCAUCUUGCUCCUUUGAUCUCCAUCUUUGGGGCACCAUGAUCAUCAUUGUCACCGGCAUGACACCAUGAUCUCCAUCAUCAUGAUCUCCAUCACUGUGUCUCCGUGAAGUCGUCACGCCAACUAUUACUUCUACUACUAUAGCUAACCGUUAGCGAUAAAGUAAAGUAAUCAACAUGGUGUUGCAUCUCAUACAAUAAAUUAAGACAACUCAUAUGGCUCCUGCUGGUUGUCAUACUCAUCGACAUGCAAUUCAUGAAUCCUAUUACAAGAACACGAUCAAUCUCAUACAUCACAUAUGUAACAUCACAUCCUUUUGGCCAUAUCACAUCACAUAGCAUACCCUCCAAAAACAAGUUAGACGUCCUCUAAUUGUUGUUGCAAGUUUUACGUGGAUGGUUAGGGUUUCUAGCAAGAACGCUUCUUACCUACUGACAGCCACAACGUUGAUAUGCCAAUGCUAUUUACCCUUUAUAAGGACCCUCUUCAAAGAAUCCGAUCCGACUAAAGUGGGAGAGACAGACACCCACUAGCCACCUGGUGGAACCAGUCUCACGUAAGAGUACGUGUAAAGUUGGUACGUGCUGCUUCAUCCCACGAUGUCAUCGAAUCAAGAUAAGACUAGUAAUGGCAAGCAAUUGACAAAAUCAGCGCCCACAACUUUUGUGUUCUACUCGUGCAUAGAAUCUAUGCAUAGAACCUUGGCUCGGAUACCACUGUUGGGGAUCGUAGUAAUUUCAAAAAAAAAUCCUACGCCAUGCAAGGAUCUAUCUAUGGAGAAACCAGCAACGAGAGAGGUUUUAGAGCAUCUUCAUACCUUUGAAGAUCGCUAAGCGGAAGCGUUACUAUGAACGCGGUUGAUGGAGUCGUACUCGCAGCGAUUCAGAUCGCGGUGGAUUCCGAUCUAUGCACCAAAUGAUGGUGCCUCCGCGUUCAACACACGUACAGCCCGGUGGCGUCUCCUCCUUCUUGAUCCAGCAAGGAGAGAGAAGUUGAGGGAGAGCUCCGGCAGCACGACGGCGUGGUGACGGUGGAGCUAUGUGGUUCUUCGGCUGGGCUUCGCCAAGCAUUGCGGAGGAGGAAGAAGAGAGAGGUAGGGCCGCGCCUUGUGAGAGAUUGAUACGUCUCCGUCGUAUCUACUUUUCCAAACUCUUUUGCCCUUGUUUUGGACUCUAAUUUGCAUGAUUUGAAUGGAACUAACCCGGACUGACGCUGUUUUCAGUAGAAUUGCCAUGGUGUUGUUUUUGUGCACAAAUAAAAGUUCUCGGAACGUCCUGAAAAUUUACGGAGAUUUUUUCUGGAAUAAAAGAAAAAUACCUGCGCAAAGAUCCACCGGAGGAGGUGGACCAGUGGGCCACAAGCCCACAGGCCGCGGCCACCCCCCCUGGCCGCACCGUGAGGGCUUGUGGGGCCCACGUGGCUCCACCGCCUCCAAACUCAGCUCUAUAUCUUCCGUCUCGCCCGGAAAAAAUCGGAGAGAAGGUUUCAUCGCGUUUUGCGAUACGGAGGCACCGCCACAUCAUGUUCUUCAUCUGGAGGGCAGAUCUGGAGUCCGUUUAGGGCUCCGAAGAGGGGAAAUCAUCGCCAUCGUCAUCAUCAACCUUUCACCAUCGACAAUUCCAUGAUGCUCUUCAUCUUUCGUGAGUAAUCUCAUCGUAGGCUUGCUGGACGGUGAUGAGUUGGAUGAGAUCUAUCACGUAAUCGAGUUGGUUUUUGACGGGGAUUGAUCCCUAGUAUCCACUAUGUUCUAUAUUGAUGUUGCUACUACUUGGCUAUGCUUAAUGCUUGUCACAGGGGCCCGAGUGCCAUGAUUUCAGAUCUGAACCUAUUAUGUUAUCGCCAAUAUAUGUGUGUUUUAGAUCCUAUCUUGCAAGUUGUAGUCACCUACUAUGUGUUAUGACCCGGCAACCCCGGAGUGACAAUAGCCGGAACCACUCCCGGAGAUGACCAUAGUAUGAGGAGUUCAUGUAUUCACCGCGUGUUAAUGCGUUGGUCUUGUUCUUUAUUAAAAGGAGAACCUUAAUAUCCCGUAGUUUCCAUUAGGACCCCGCUGCCACGGGAGGGAUGGACAAUAGAUGUCAUGCAAGUUCUUUUCCCUAAGCACGUAUGACUACACACGGAAUACAUGUCUACAUUAGAAUGAAGAACGGGAGCUAGUUACAUAUCUCUCCGUGUUAUAGUUGUUACAUGAUGAAUCACAUCCCUAAUAGUCAUCCAUCACCGAUGCACUGCCUACGAGUCUUUUACUACUGGUCCUCGCUACGUUACUUUGUCUUGGCUUGUCCCUUGCUACAAAAGGGAUUGGGCCACUUUGCUGCUACUGUUGCUACUGCUGUCACUUUGGUGCUACUGUUGCUACUACUUUUACUUUGCUGUUGCUGCUACUGCCGUUCCUUGCUACUUCGCUGUUACUUGUUGCAAGACUUUUCUGGAGCCGUAUACGGGAAGCAUUCUUCUCAAGAAUAAUCCCCCGUCAACGUGCUAUUUACUGGCGCCAUUGAUACAAGAGUUAAGAAUAGUCUGCCAUCAACAGAUCAUUUCUGGCACUGUUGCUAUCAUACUACUUUGCUACUAAUACUUUGCUUGCAGACACUAAUCUUUCAGGUGUGGUUGAAUCUGAUAAACUCAGUUGCUAAUACUUGAGAAUAUUCUUUAGCUUCCCCUUGUGAACGAAUCAAUAAAUUUGGGUCGAAUACUCUACCCUUGAAAAUUGUUGCGAUCCCCUACACUUGUGGGUUAUCAGAGAUCAAUUGUGUGUCUCAAAAGGGCCAAAACCUCAAGUAUAUAUAGGAGGAGGGAGAGGGAGGGCUGCCUUGGCCCCUCCUCCAAGGAGGAGAGGUUCGGUCGAACUAGGGGAGGAGUCCACCUCCCACAAGGGAGGUGGAUCCCUUCCUUUUAAACCCCUUUUGCCUUAUCUCCUUUAUCCCUUGCCACAUGGGCCUUUAGGGAAGGCCUCGGCCAUACCAAUAAGGGCUGGUCCACCUCCUCCAACAGCCCAUGAACUCCUUUGGUCGUCACACCCCUCCCGGGGUCCUCCGGCACCCUCCCGGCACUCCCGGUACACUACCGAUGAGUCCGAAACUUUUCCAGUGACCAAAACAGGACUUCCUAUAUAUCAAUAUUUACUUCCGGACCAUUUUGGAGCUCCCCAUGAUGUCUGGGAUCUCAUCCGAGACUCCUGACAACCUUCGGUAACCACAUACUAUUCCCUUUACAACUGUAGCGUCAUCGAACCUUAAGUCUGUAGACCCUACGGGUUCGGGAAACAUGCAGACAUGACCGAGACAUCUCUCCGGCCAAUAACCAACAAUGGGAUCUGGAUAUCCAUGUUGGUUCCCACAUGUUCCACGAUGAUCUCAUCGGAUGAACCACGAUGUCAAGGAUUCAAUCAAUCCCGUAUGCAAUUCCCUUUGUCUACCGGUAUGAUACUUGCCCGAGAUUCGAUCGUCGGUAUCCCCAUACCUUGUUCAAUCUCGUUACGGCAAGUCUCUUUACUCGUUCCAUAAUACAUCAUCCCGUGGCUAACUCCUUAGUCACACCAAGCUCAAUAUGAUGAUGGAUUACCGAGUGGGCCCAAAGAUACCUCUUCGUCACACGGAGUGACAAAUCCCAGUCUCGAUUCGUACAACCCAACAAAUACUUUCAGAGAUACCUGUAGUGUACCUUUAUAAUGACCCAGUUACGUUGUGUCGUAGCCGGGGAAGCAUUCUUCUCAAGAAUAAUCCCCCGUCAACGUGCUUUUUACUAGCGCGUUGAUACAACAGUUAGGAAUAGUCUGCCGUCAACAGAUCGUUUCUCGCACCGUUGCUAUCAUACUACUUUGCUACUGAUACUUUGCUUGCAGACACUAAUCUUUCAGGUGUGGUUGAAUCUGAUAAACUCAGCUGCUAAUACUUGAGAAUAUUCUUUAGCUUCCCCUUGUGAGCGAAUCAAUAAAUUUGGGUCGAAUACUCUACCCUCGAAAACUGUUGCGAUCCCCUACACUUGUGGGUUAUCAAGACCUUUUUUUGGCGCCGUUGCCGGGGAGGCACAGCUAUAUUCUCUGAGUCACUUGGGAUUUUCGUCUGCUGGUCACUAUGAGGAAUCCGAAAGAUCCAAGAACUAAAAUCUUGCCUUCCACUACGAGGAGAGGUAAGGAACUGCCAUCUAGCUCUGCACUUGAUUCACCUUCAGUUUUGAGUAAGUUUGCGACUUCGCCUCCUGCUAGAAAUCUUGAUAUGUCGCAUGUGCUUGAUGAUGCUACUUCUGCUGCCCAUGAUGUUGUGCUUGAUACUAUGCUUGAUGAUGCUAUGCUUGAUACUAUACCUGAUGAUGCAUGCUUGAUACUGCUUUGCCUCAUGAUGCUAUGCCUGAUACUGCUUUGCCACUGUAGCGACCCGACUCAAUACGUGUCAAGCCUCUGGUGUUUCCGUACCAUCCCAAGAUCAUGCUGGUACACACUCAGUACAUCAAUGUAUAUAUCAAGAGUUCAAUCACACAGCUUUAUUAAUCGAAAUCUCAUAUCGAGUACUUUAUUACAAUAAUGAAUUACAAUAAAGUGGUUGAAGGCCGUCUCAUGAGAUAUCUAAUGAAGACUAGCGGAAGCAUCAGGUAGACGAGUCCAUCCGACUCCAGGGCAUGUCGCUGAGCGUAGAUCGUAGCCUCACUCCUGGUCGGAAAAGUACUCUGCAAGAUAAUACGUUGCAGCCAUGUAGGUCAGCAUAUGGAAUAUGCCGGCAAGUCAUCAAAGAGAGGGGAAAAAUAAUAACCAACUAUCUCUACAUGCAUAUUUGGCAGGUGGGGUUAUAAGUUUUAGCAUAAAGCCAAUUUUCUCCUACAACAAGAGAGGGUUGAAAGCAAAAAUAUUACUACAUUGUUUGUUGUUAACGAGAUGGUUCCGCCAACCAAUUCUCGUACCCGAGUUGUUGAUAAUUCCCACAUCAUUAUUAAGUUGUGUCGAGAGUUCACGGAAAUUUCAAUGCCUUCGGCUCAAGUUGUCCAUGACUGUGGACACGGCUAAUCGAUUAGGUUUGGGCACUCUGCAGAGUUUUGCACACGUUCCCCACAAGAUUUGAUCGCCUCCGGGUAUGUCCUCGCACUUCAGGGUGUUUGAAGACCGGAUGAUCAAAACAUGGUCUUUCAACGGGUCCCUCUGAAUCCCUGUCGGUGCCCAUCCAUUCCUACCAUUCUUCUACAUCUGCUAGCACCGCCUGUCCAGGGUCGCCGCGUUGUCCAACCAAGCCAGACCCCAUAAUGACUUGUGACUGUGCAGGUAAGCCUUGGGUCUUGAAGCCUCCGUCCGUCUCUUCGAGCCUGGGUGAAGCUUUCCGCAAGAUGACAUGGCACGUCUCCAAGCAUCCCGGGGUCGUCCACUGGUUUCUCCAGGGAGCCCGUCAAACCGUCCUUCACCCAGAGUUGCAUUUCUUCACGAGGUCUUGAAAAUCUUGACUUAACCGGUCUUGGUUAUUUAAUUAUCCUCGCAUCAUUCGUGUUAUGCACUCAACCAGAAUCCCGUCUACUCAAGCAUAGCAAUAUGAAAUUUGUCGUCCCGGGCCAAGUAUCAGGGUUGUUGUGUGCCUACCACAAGAUACUACAACCUAUAACUAUAAUUUCCAAGUACCUACUCAGCAUGCAAUUGGGCAAAGAAAGGUGAAACUACCAUGCAUAGAAAACAUAGGCGAAUAGUAUGAUCAAAAUUACUUGACUUGAUGAUAGUUGUCUUGAUCGAGCGCUUCUAAGUAACAAGCUUCACACUCUGGGUGAUCUACCGAUACAAACAAAUACACACCAUAAGCACUAGAAUCAUCAACAAGUAAAAUACAUCACAAGCAUAAAGUAGCUAUGGCAUAAAGUGAAAGAAUUCACUUCACCUAACUAAGGCAGAAAUUGUUUCUGUUAAAACCCCAAGUAAAAGUAUUUAAAAAAGAUGAAAUUUAUACUACAGAAAGAUAUAAUCACUAGGAAGCAGUAGCAAAAAGAAUCAAAUAAAAAUCUAUUUUUAAACUCCUGGAAUAAGCAAAACAAGGUUUAAACUAAAUCUGAUCUAAUUCAAAUUUGAAACUUUUAAACAUAGACAAAUUAUAUGUUUUUGAAAACUACAGAAAAAUUGUAAUCUACUCGAACAAGUUUCAACUCCAUUGGUAUCCUGGAUCAAAAGCUAUGAUCAAAACAAGAUUGGAACUUUCUCUUUUUCUAAUCUAAAACAGAAAAAGAAGAAAAACUGCUAGUGAACAGGGGGUUAGGUGGCAGCUUCUGGUUGGCCUAGAUGGUGUGUGCUGCAGGCUAACUAACAAAUGGCCGAUAACUAAACAAACCGUUUCGGCUAGUGUUAAGUGGGGAAGAAAAUCAGUCGGUUUUUAACUAAAAACCGAAGGGGUACGCGGGUUAUAAUCUCGGGCGUUGAUCUUUGAUCUAACGGCUACAGGAGGGAUGGGGGUAGCUCACCGUGGCUGCUUCUUCUCCGGCGAGCAGGGAAGUGGAGGUCGACGGGGACGGGGCUCCGGCGGGUCUCCCGCGAGUCCGAUGGCUCCAGGGGACAGCGGCGAGGCUCCUCCGUCCGUUUGCUGUGUCGGGGAGUCGAGGGAGCGUCGGGGGCGAGCAACACGAGCUCUUCAAGCUUCUGCGGCGGCCGAACUCCGGCGAGGGGAGGUGCGGCGGCAUGGGGCGGCGAAGGGGAGGUCUAGGGGGACAAAUGGAGUGCGGUGGAGGCGGCGAACUCUGUGGUGGGGUUGGUUGGUGCGGGGGGCGAGGGGUGGCGCAGGGUGGCGUGGGUGUUUUUCUUGUGGAGCCUGGCUCCAGCGAGGUGGCGUGGGGGCGAUCUGGCGUGGGGAGGAGGGGGCCGAGGGGGGCUGGAGGCGCGGCUUAAAUAGGGGGAGAGGGGGCCGAGGGAAAGGAAAGGGGGGAGGCCGAGAUCGGGUGGAUCCCGUCGGAUCCCGGCGAGGCAAGGGCGACGCCAUGGAGAGGGGGGCUCGUGCGCAGGGAAGGAAAGGGGCACGGGAGAGGAAAGGAAGGAGGAAGAAGAAAGGAAGGAAAGAAAGAAAAGAAAAAAAGAAAAGAAAAGAAAGGGGUGCGAGGGGGGUUGGAGGCGGCGGUUUGCCACGGAUCUCGCUCCCAGCGAUGGGGGAUCUGGCCCAAAAAAAAUCUCCCGAUUUUUUUAUUAUUUCUUUUAAAACAGUAAGAGAAGAAGAAUAAAAGGAAACAAAAUAAAAAAAUAUUAAUAUAGGGUAUUAUAUACCAAAAUGAUCAGAAAAAUAUUUCCUAAUUGUUUAUCAUUUUUCCAAAACCAAAAUAAAAACUUUUUUUAAAAAUGUUUUUUUCAGAAAAACCCCUUAUGCUAUAUUUUCUUUUUGGCAAUUAAUUUCUCCAUAAAACUUUGGUUUUUCUUGGCUCAAAUAUUUUCAAAAGUGUCUCACAUUUUGGAGGGUCAUUUUCCUCCGCUCUCUCUUGCUUGCAAGACUUUUGUCGGGGCAUUUCUCGUGGGGAGAAAGUAGAAAAGCAAAAGCAAGUAUUUGACGGAAAUCGAAUGCAAAACUUUAUUGCAAACAAGAUGCAUAGAUGCUUAGCUACAUUUGUAGAACAUUCCCAAUUAGGAAAAAUUGGGAUGUUACAAACCUACCCACCUUAAGAUGAAUCUCGCCCUCGAGAUUCAGGUUGGCUAGAAAAUAGGUGCGGGUGGUCUCGACGAAGAUCCUCUUCUCGUUCCCAGGUGGCUUCUUCCUCGGUGUGGUGGCUCCACAACACCUUGCAGAACUUGAUGAUCUUGCUGCGGGUAACACUGUUGGCAGUCUCGAGAAUGCUGAUGGGUUUCUCCUCAUACAUCAGAUCACUGUCAAGUUGUAUGGCCUCUAGGGGCACUGUAUCUCUCAACGGAACAUCAGCCAUCUCAGCGUGGCAUUUCUUCAACUGGGAAACAUGGAAGACAUCAUGAACUCCGGACAAUCCUUCUGGCAGUUCCAGUUUGUAAGCAACUUCGCCUCUAUGUUCAAGAAUUUUGUAGGGGCCAAUGAAUCGGGGUGCUAACUUUCCUUUCACACCAAAUCUCUUGAUUCCUCGAAGUGGAGACACCCGAAGAUAGGCUCGGUCUCCCACUUCGUAUGUUAGUUCCUUGCAUUUGCUAUCAGCAUAACUUUUCUGCCUAGACUGAGCUAUCUUGAGUCGGUCACGAAUCAGCUUGACCUUCUCUUCAGAAUUUCGGAUAAGGUCGGGACCAAAAAGUUGUCGGUCUCCAACUCCAUCCCACAUCAACGGUGUUCUGCACCUCCUUCCAUAUAGAGCUUCGAAAGGGGCCAUCUUCAGACUGGUCUAAUAGCUGUUGUUGUAUGAGAACUCGGCAUAAGGCAAAUUGUCAUCCCAACUAGACCCAUAGUCUAAUGCGCAAGCUCUCAACAUGUCCUCCAGAAUCUGAUUGACUCUCUCAGUCUGUCCAUCUAUCUGUGGGUGAAAAGAUGUACUAAACUCCAAUCUCGUUCCCAAGGUUUCAUGCAGUUGGUGCCAAAAUUUUGAUGUGAACUGAGUCCCUCUAUCCGACACAAUACUCUUCGGUACUCCAUGCAAACAUAUGAUCCUGGUCAUAUAUAUCUUGGCCAGCUUGGCACUCGUGUAAGUAGUCUUCACGGGAAUGAAGUGAGCUACCUUGGUCAAACGAUCGACCACAACUCAAAUAGAAUCAUAGCCAGAACGGGUCCUGGGUAAUCCUGUGAUGAAGUCCAUACCAAGCUUUUCCCAUUUCCACUCGGGUAUCGGCAGAGGUUGAAGCAAACCUGCUGGCUUCUGAUGCUCGGCUUUUACUCACUGACAAACAUCGCAUAUUGCUACAAACUCGGCAAUGUCUUUCUUCAUUCCUGUCCACCAGAAACUUUCUUUCAGAUCCAGAUACAUCUUGGUGUUGCCGGGGUGUAUCGAGUACGGGGAAUCAUGGGCCUCCUGAAGUAUCAACUUCCUGAGUUCGGGAUCAUUGGGCACAUAAAUGCGAUCCUCAAACCAUAGAGUUCCGUGUUCAUCCUCAUGAAAACCUUUAGCCUUCCCGUCUUUCAUUUUCUGCUUAAUCUCAGCUAUCUCCUUGUCUGAUUUCUGAGCUUCGCGGAUCUUUUCUGUCAAGGUGGAAUUAAUUUCCAGUGUGUCUACAAAGCCUCUUGGAACUAUUUCCAAUUUGAGCUCUCGGAGAUCAUCGGCUAACUCUGGGGGUAAUCCUCCCGCUAUGAGUGUGUUCACAUAACUCUUGCGGCUCAACGCAUCGGCUACAACAUUUGCCUUGCCUGGGUGAUAAUGCAAUCUCAUGUCAUAGUCCUUGAUCAAUUCUAGCCAUCGCCUCUGUCUGAGGUUCAACUCCUUCUGCGUGAAGAUAUAUUUCAGGCUCUUGUGAUCAGUGUAAACAUCACAACUAUUUCCGAUCAGGAAAUGUCUCCAACUCUUGAGAGCGUGCACUACGGCUGCUAGCUCCAAGUCAUGCAUGGCAUAAUUCAACUCAUGGGGUCUGAGCUGUCUGGAUGCAUAGGCUACAACUUUACCUUCUUGCAUGAGCACUCCUCCGAGUCCUUGACGAGAAGCGUCAAAGUAAACCUGGAAAUCCUUCCGAAUGUUCGGCAAUAUCAGCACUGGGGCUGUAACCAGACGUUUCUUCAACUCUUGAAAACUGGAUUCACAUUCCUCAGUCCAAACAUACUUGGACUCCUUCUUCAACAACUCUGUCAUGGGCUUGGUGAUCUUUGAGAAAUUCUCAAUGAACCUCCGGUAAUAUCCGGCAAGUCCGAGGAAACUGCGGAUCUCCUUAACUGAAGUGGGUGCUACCCAUUCGGUGACUGCUGCGACCUUGGCAGGGUCCACUGCUAUUCCUUCUCCUGAAAUGACGUGUCCGAGGAAUCCGACUUCCUUCAACCAAAAUUCACAUUUGCUAAACUUUGCAUACAGCUGAUGCUCUCGAAGUUUCUCCAGAACUAGACGCGGAUGUUCCUUGUGUUCCUCCUUGUUCUUGGAGAAUAUCAGUAUGUCAUCAAUGAACACCACGACAAACUUGUCCAAGUAUUCCAUAAAUACCUUGUUCAUCAGAUUCAUAAAAUAUGCCGGAGCAUUAGUCAGUCCAAAUGACAUGACCGUGUACUCAUACAAGCCGUACCGAGUGGUGAAGGCUGUCUUGGGUAUAUCAUGUUCACGAAUCUUCAGCUGAUGAUACCCGGAUCGAAGAUCGAUUUUGGAGAACACUCGGGGCUCCAACUAACUGGUCAAACAGAUCAUUGAUCAUCGGCAAGGGAUACUUGUUCUUGAUGGUCACCUCGUUCAAUGCACGAUAAUCGACAACCAUUCUCAAGGACUUAUCCUUCUUUUCAACCAAGAGCACUGGCGCUCCCCAAGGUGAAGAACUUGGGCGAAUAUACUCUUUGUCCAACAACUCCUUAAUUUUCUUCUUGAUUUCUACCAAGUCAUUUGCGGGCAUCCGAUAGGGUCUCUUGGAUAUCGGGGUUGUUCCGGGUAAUACCUCAAUCAGGAACUCAAUCUCUCUAUCAGGUGGCAUGCCCGGCAAUUCCUCCGGAAAUACAUCUGGGUAUUCUUGUACAAUCGGUACUUCCUCCUGGACUACUCCCGUGAGAGAGUUUACUCGUUUACUCCGUGUCGGGCGCUGAGACAUGUACUUAAUCCGCUUUUGCUCGGGGGUGGUGAACAAAAUAGACUUAAGGGUACAAUCAAUAUUCCCUUCGUACUUGGCCAACCAAUCCAUGCCCGGGAUUACAUCCAAUCCCUGAGACUCAAAGCAUGGCAUCCUAUCCCGGCUGUCAUUAUGCCUCCUGGGGAACUGACCUUAAUAGGUUGCCUGAGGGUUCUAGUUGGCAAACUAUACUUUUCCACAACUACCCUUGAUAUGAAUGAAUGUGUUGCACCAGAAUCAAAAAGUACCAAUACUGGACAUGAAUUUAGCAAAAACUUACCAACCACAGUAUCGGGGUGAUCAUAGACCUCUUCAACAUCAAUGUGAUUCACCUGAGCUCGAGGAAAAGGAUUGGGCUUCUUUGCUGCAGAGUUGCCAUUGCCGUUUCCAUUUCCCUGCUUGUUCUGGGGACAUUUAGUGGCAUAGUGUCCCGUCUUCUGACACUAGAAGCAGGUGAUGUGAUUCAGAUCCUUCUGAGCUAGAGCUGAAUGAUGUUCAGUGCCGGUAUCGCCAUUCUUGAAGUUGCUGUUGUUGCGGUGGUUCCCAUUUCCUCCAUGGUUGUGCACUGAGUGGUUAUGCUGGACGUGUCCUCCGAACUUACCGGAUCCAGUCCCGGUAUUCCCUGAAUAGGGGGUGUAGCGAGGCUUCUGCUGAGUGCCGGAGUUGAACUUUACAUUGCCAUACUUCCGCUUGCGGUUCUCCAUCUGCUGAUGUUUCCCCUCCAAGAUGAGGGCCUUAUCUACCAGCUCCUGGUAGUUGUUGAAGUUGGCUACAGUCAGCUGAAUGCUCAGCUCAUCAUUGAGUCCCUCCAAGAACUUUUCCUGCUUGGCCGCAUCAUCGGCCACAUCUCCAGGUGCAUAACGGGCGAGCAUGCUGAAUUCAUCGACAUACUGAGCCACAGAGCGAUUUCCCUGGAGUAAGUUGCGAAACUCACGCUUCUUCAGACUCAUUGCACCAGCUGAGACAUGUGCGGUGCGGAAGGCUUGCUUGAACUGCUCCCAAGUGACUCCAGCAAUGGGGUAUGUGGUGGUGUAGUUCUCCCACCAUGCAGCUGCAGGGCCUUCAAGUUGAUGCGCGGCAAAGCGCACCUUCUCAGCUUCAGUACAACCAGCAGUGAUUAGUUCCCGCUCCAUCUUGCGGAGCCAAUCAUCUGCCACAAUGGGCUCAAUGCUGCUGGAGAAAGUCGGAGGGUUCAACCUCAGGAAACGGGUGAGAUUGUCGGCCUGGGGUGGAUGAUGGUUGUUACUAUUGUUCUGGUUCUGGAUGAUCAGCUGCAUCAGGGUAUUCUGUUGCUGAAUCAACUGAGUGAGUUCCGGCGGGAAGUUGGAAGCACAGGCACGUCUCGGAGGCAUCUAGUGUUUGUAGAGGGGUGAGAUUAGCAUAGAACAAUGGUCUAAAUAGUAAUUACACUACCCAUAUGAAAUGCAACAACCAAGUAUCACACCACACAUUUUAUUCAAUACCAUCACAAAAGGUUCACACACGGGGAUACAAAAUUUGAUAACCUAAACAUUGGCCGAAGCGUUUAACGAUAAGAUAAAUUUGGUGGACUAGUCUAAGUGUCCUCCUCAGAAAAGCAUGGUGGUGGGUCCUUCGGUGGAGCUUUCUUCAUAGUCCUCCUCAUUGCUGAUCAAGGGGGCUACGUCUCCUUCGGGAUGAAGGUUCUCGCCCAUGUCUAGUUCCUCCUCCAGGUGUGCGACACGAGUCUUCAGCUUCUCGAUCCUCUCCAGGAAGUCCUUCACCUCCAAUUCGUGCUCAUAGUGGGCUUCCCGGGCUGCUUCUUUGAGUUCGAGUUCGAGUUCGCGGAGCGACAAUUGCUUGAUCUUCCUAGCGUCCUUGAUCACACGAUGCUCCAGAGUCCCGCUGUGCUUCUCCAAGGUCUGGGCAUAGGACAGGAGAGCGUCCUUGGUCUUGCUUGAGAUGAUUUCUCCAUCUUCUCCUCUCCGGGAUACCGUGAAUAGGUCCGGUGAAAUAGGGCAGCCUCUGUACACUUCCUUGAUACGUCGGAGUGCACAAUGGACCGCCAUGUCCCUUCCGAGAAUCCAGUUGGGUGCGAUGAACUUGAAGUCCACAGGCUCAGUGCGCGGCUCGAAUGUCCUUCCGGGAACGUGCACCUCAAUCCUGUAGCGUGAAUCCUCCGGGUAAGACGAAGUAGGCUUCCCUGUGAUAGUUGGCAGAGCAAUCCUCAAGUCCUUGGUGAUCUGUAUCAACUCCUUUCCAAAAGGCAUAGUGGCGUCGGCCUGGCAAAACUCCGUGAAUUUAACGGGGAUGAAGGUGGCCAUCUAAAACAUUGGAAAAUCGGAGAGAAGUCAGAAAUGAUCAGAAGAGGAAAUAGAGGAUUUAUAGACAUAAGAAAAUAGUUUUCUUCCUAAGGCUUUUCCAUUCCUAGAGGUUACGUCCUACGGUCAGCGUGUGCUCUGAAUACCAUUUCUGUAGCGACCCGACUCAAUACGACUCAAGCCUCUGGUGUUUCUGUACCAUCCCAAGAUCAUGAUGGUACACACUCAGUACAUCAAUGUAUAUAUCAAGAGUUCAAUCACACAGCUUUAUUAAUCGAAAUCUCAUAUCGAGUACUUUAUUACAAUAAUGAAUUACAAUAAAGUGACUGAAGGCCGUCUCAUGAGAUAUCUAACGAAGACUAGUGGAAGCAUCAGGUAGACGAGUCCAUCCGACUCCAGGGCAUGUCGUUGAGCGUAGAUCGUAGCCUCACUCCUGGUCGGAAAAGUAAUCUGCAACAUGAUACGUUGCAGCCGUGUAGGUCAGCAUAUGGAAUAUGCCGGCAAGUCAUCAAAGAGAGGGGAAAAGUAAUAACCAACUAUCUCUACAUGCAUAUUUGGCAGGUGGGACUAUAAGUUUUAGCAUAAAGCCAAUUUUCUCCUACAACAAGAGAGGGUUGAAAGCAAAAAUAUUACUACAUUGUUUGUUGUUAACGAGAUGGUUCCGCCAACCAAUUCUCGUACCCGAGUUGUUGAUACCCACAUCAUUAUUAAGUUGUGUCGAGAGUUCAGGGAAAUUUCAAUGCCUUCGGCUCAAGUUGUCCAUGACCGUGGACACGGCUAAUCGAUUAGGUUUGGGCACUCUGCAGAGUUUUGCACACGUUCCCCACAAGAUUUAAUCGCCUCCGGGUAUGUCCUCGCACUUCAGGGUGUUUGAAGACCGGAUGAUCAAAACAUGGUCUUCAACGGGUCCCUCUGAAUCCCUGUCGGUGCCCAUCCAUUCCUACCGUUCUUCUACAUCUGCUAGCACCGCCUGUCCAGGGUCGCCGCGUUGUCCAACCAAGCCAGACCCCAUAAUGACUUGUGGCUGUGCAGGUAAGCCUUGGGUCUUGAAGCCUCCGUCCGUCUCUUCGAGCCUGGGUGAAGCUUUCCGCAAGAUGACAUGGCACGUCUCCAAGCAUCCCGGGGUCGUCCACUAGUUUCUCCAGGGAGCCCGUCAAACCGUCCUUCACCCAGAGUUGCAUUGCUUCACGAGGUCUUGAAAAUCUUGACUUAACCGGUCUUGGUUAUUUAAUUAUCCUCGCAUCACUCGUGUUAUGCACUCAACCAGAAUCCCGUCUACUCAAGCAUAGCAAUAUGAAAUUUGUCGUCCCGGGCCAAGUAUCGGGGUUUUUGUGUGCCUACCACAAGAUACUACAACCUAUAACUAUAAUUUCCAAGUACCUACUCAGCAUGCAAUUGGGCAAAGAAAGGUGAAACUACCAUGCAUAGAAAACAUAGGCGAAUAGUAUGAUCAAAAUGACUUGCCUUGAUGAUAGUUGUCUUGAUCGAGCGCUUCUAAGUAAUAAGCUUCGCACUCCGGGUGAUCUACUGAUACAAACAAAUACACACCAUAAGCACUACAAUCAUCAACAAGUAAAAUACAUCACAAGCAUAAAGUAGCUAUGGCAUAAAGUGAAAGAAUUCACUUCACCUAACUAAGGCAGAAAUUGUUUCUAUUAAAACCCCAAGUAAAAGUAUUUAAAAACAAAUGAAACUUAUACUACAUAAAUAUAUAAUCACUAGGAAGCAGUAGCAAAAAGAAUCAAAUAAAAAUCUAUUUUUAAACUCCUGGAAUAAGCAAAACAAGGUUUAAACUAAAUCUGAUCUAAUUCAAAUUUGCAAAUUUCACACAUAGACAAAUUAUACGUUUUUGAAAACUACAGAAAAAUUGUGAUCUACUGGAACAAGUUUCCACUCCAUUGGAAUCCUGGAUCAAAAGCUAUGAUCAAAACAAGAUUGGAACUUUCUCUGUUUUCUAAUCUAAAACAUAAAAAGAAGAAAAACUGCUAGUGAACAGGGGGUUAGGUGGCAGCUUUUGGUUGGCCUAGAUGGUGUGUGUUGCGGGCUAACUAACAAACGGCCGAUAACUAAACAAACCGUGUCGGCUAGUGUUAAGUGGGGAAGAAAAUCAGUCGGUUUUUAACUAAAAACCGAAGGGGUACGCGGGUUAUAAUCUCGGGCGUUGAUCUUUGAUCUAACGGCUACAGGAGGGAUGGGGGUAGCUCACCGUGGUUGCUUCUUCUCCGGCGAGUAGGGAAGUGGAGGUCGACGGGGACGGGGCUCCAGCGGGUCUCCGACGAGUUCGAUGGCACCAGGGGAUGGCGGUGAGGCUCCUUCGUCUGUUUGCUGUGUCGGGGAGUUGAGGGAGCGUCGGGGACGAGCAGCACGAGCUCUUCAAGCUUUUGCGGCGGCCGAACUCCGGCGAGGGGAGGUGCGGCAGCGUGGGGGUGGCGAAGGGGAGGUCUAGGGGGGAAUGGAGUGCGGGGGAGGCGGCGAACUCUCUGGUGGGGUUGGUUGGUGCGGGGUGGGCGAGGGGUGGCGCAGGGUGGCGUGGGUGUUUUUCUUCUGGAGCCUGGCUCCAGCGAGGUGGCGUGGGGGCGAUCUGGCGUGAGGAGGAGGGGGCGAGGGGGGUUGGAGGCGCGGCUUAAAUAGGGGGAGAGGGGGCGAGGCAAAGGAAAGGGGGGAGGCCGAGAUCGGGUCGAUCCCGUCGGAUCCCGGCGAGGCAGGGGCGACGCCAUGGAGAGGGGGGCUCGUGCGCUGGGAAGGAAAGGGGCACGGGAGAAGAAAGGAAGGAGGAAGAAGAAAGGAAGGAAAGAAAGAAAAUAAAAAAGGAAAGAAAGAGGUGCGAGGGGGGCUGGAGGCGGCGGUUGCCACGGAUCUGGCUCCUAGCGAUGGGGGAUCUGGCCCAAAAAAAAUCUCCCGAUUUUUUUUAUUUCUUUUAAAACAGUAAGAGAAGAAGAAUAAAAGGAAACAAAAUAAAAAAAUACUAAUAUAGGGUAUUAUAUACCAAAAUGAUCAGAAAAAUAUUUCCUAAUUGUUUAUCAUUUUUCCAAAACCAAAACAAAAACUUUUUUAAAAAAUGUUUUUUUUCAGAAAAACCCCUUAUGCUAUAUUUUAUUUUUGGCAAAUAAUUUCUCCAUAAAACUUUGGUUUUUCUUGGCUCAAAUAUUUUCAAAAGUGCCUCACAUUUUGGAGGGUCAUUUUCCUCCGCUCUUUCUUGCUUGCAAGACUUUUGUCGGGGCAUUUCUCGUGGGGAGAAAAUAGAAAAGCAAAAGCAAGUAUUUGACGGAAAUCGAAUGCAAAACUUUAUUGCAAACAAGAUGCAUAGAUGCUUAGCUACAUUUGUAGAACAUUCCCAAUUAGGAAAAAUUGGGAUGUUACAGCCACUAGGUGCCCUUGAUGCACAUAUUGCUAGAGUUGCUGCUAGACGCGAUGAUACUUCUGAAACUGCUGAUACUAUUGAAGUAGAACCUGCUACUAUGCCUGAAUUGCCUGUUAUGCCUGAUACGCGCUAUGUUAUGGAGGGAGAGAUAGCUGAGGACUUUCUUGCGUGUAAGGAUAGCUAUAAUGUUGAGAAACUACUGCGCAAGUGGAAAGAAAAAUCUCUGAACGCUAGGAUGAAAUACGACCCGAAGUUUGCUACUUCGCCUAUCUUUGUGACCGAUAAGGAUUAUGAAUUCUCUGUCGACCCUGAGUUAAUCACUCUGGUCAAAUCUGAUCCUUUUCACGGUUACGAGUCUGAAAUGGUUGUAGCCCAUCUUACCAAACUGCACGAUAUAGCCACCCUAUUCACUAGUGAGGAAAAGAUCCGCCACUACUAUAUGCUCAAGGUGUUUCCUUUCUCGCUAAAGGAUGAUGCUAAGACCUGGUUCACUUCUCUUUCUCCUGGAUGUGUGCAUAGCCCCCAGGAUAUGGUCUACUACUUCUCUAAAAAAUAUUUCCCUGCCCAUAAGAAGCAAGCUGCCUUGCAGGAAAUAUACAACUUUGCUCAAGCUGAAGAAGAGAGACUCCCACAAGCUUGGGGGAGGCUCAUCCAGCUACUGAAUGCUUUGCCUGAUCACCAUCUUGAGAAGAAUGAAAUACUUGACAUCUUCUAUAAUGGACUUACCGAUGCUUCUAAAGACCACUUAGAUAGUUGUGCCGGUAGUGUUUUUAGGGAACGAACUGUAGAAAAAGCUGAGAUUCUACUGAAUAACAUCUUGUGCAAUGAGAAUGCUUGGACUAUUCCCGAACCACCUCCUAAGCCAACUCCAAAGAAAAGAGGUAUUCUAUUCCUCAGUCCUGAAGAUAUUCAAGAAGCCAAGAAAUCUAUGCGAGAGAAAGGCAUUAAAUCUGAAGAUGUCAAAAAUCUACCACCUAUCGAAGAGAUCUAUGGUCUCAAUAACCCGAUACAGGUAGUAGAAGUAAAUUCUCUGCGUAGGUUUUAUGAGAGUGAUAUUCCUUUUGAUAAACCUGCUAGCUUAUGCAUGGAUGAAUUUGAUAACUUCGUUGCCAAACAACAGAGUUUCAGUGAUUAUGUUAGCAGACAAUUGGAAAAGAAUGCUCGUAUACUUAGUCAUUUAAGUGCUUGUGUAGACAGAAAUGUCAAUGCUCUCAAGCUUCUGAGUAAACAUGCCUCUAUGGUUACUACUCAGGUAGAACAAGUACUUAAAGCUCAGAAUGACUUGCUCAAUGAGUUGAAUGACAAUUCCGUUAGAGUCGUCACUAGAGGUGGUAGAAUGACCCAGGAACCUUUGUAUCCCCGGGUUCAUCCGAAGAGAGUUGAACAAGAUUCUCAAGGAGUUAGCACUGAUGCACCUAGUCAUCCUAGAAAGAAGAAGAAAGAUGAUAGGGAUCUGCAUGCUAGCAACCCUGUUGCUGCUACACCUGAGAGUCCAAACGAUGCCUCUCUCUCUUUAUCGUAGACUUGAACUGGAUAAGUUGACACUCACUGAAAUCUCUCUGCAAAUGGCCGACAAAUCAAUUGCUUUCCCUAUUGGCAUUUGCAAGGAUGUGCCUGUUGUGGUUGCUAACGUCACCAUCUUAACAGACUUUGUUAUCUUGGAUAUUCCUGAGGACGAUGCCAUGGCAGUCAUCCUCGGAAGACCCUUUUUAAACACUGCAGGGGCUGUUAUAGAUUGCAACAAAGGCAAUGUCACUUUCCAUGUCAACGGUAAUGAGCAUACGGUGCACUUUCCGAAGAAACAAUAUCGAGUACAUUGCAUCAUUGCUAUCGAAAAAACUUCAUCCAUUCUUAUUGGGAGCUUUGAAUGCCCUAUUCCUCGUGUCAAGAUGAAGUAUGAUUUGCUUGUUGGGGAGAUACACAUCCCAAUUGAGGUGACCUAGUGACUAUUCGAAAAUUCUCUGUUCUCUUUUGCGAUUCGAAAAGGUUUUUCAAAGAGGCUUGAUCAACCUCACUGACGGAUUUCUUUCGUUCACCAUGAGAUGGAUGAAUCGAGGAGUCACAAACCUCUGUUCCAAGCUUUCACCUUCGGUUGCUUAGAAGAAAAAUGAUAAAUUUAGUUUAGUUUUCCCUGUUUUCUGUUUUAGCGUCCGAUAGAAAAAUACCCCGAAAAUAGAAGUUCUCCGAACGCCGUGAAAAUCAAGUAUGAUUUUUUUAUGGAUUUUUGAAAAAUACUGGGACAAAGAGUUUGUCUGGGGGCCACACUAGUGGGCCACAAGCCCUAGGGGCGCGGGCACCCCCCUUGGCCGCGCCACCCAGGCUUGUGGGGCCCACAGUCACCCCCUCCACUCAUUCUUGCUCUCAUCUGGUUCUCCUACCUCUAGAAAAAAUCGUUUCGCAGCUCAAACCCGUGUUCUUGCUCCUCUUGCUGGGAUUUUCGAUCUCUUUGCUCAAAUCACCGUUCUCCGAACUGUUUUCGGGAAAUUACUCCUUGGUAAGUGACUCCUCCAUUGGUCCAAUUAGUUUUUGCUCUAGUGCCUUAUACUCCGCGUAUUUUUGCUGCCUUGGUGACCAUGUUCUUGAGCUUUGCAUGCUGAUUCUAGCUGGUCUCAAGUAGUUUUGAUGCGUAAUAUGGUCUCUAGACACUUGUGGGAGUAGUUGCUACGAUUUUCGUUGAGCCUUGUUCACCUUUCCUUAGAAUCACUAAAAAUUUCAGAAAUUUUCAGAGAUAGAAAAGGGAAAAGAUGAGAAGGUUCUUAAGAGGCUCUUCAGGCCAUGACCCCAAGGAUGAUGGAAGUGAGAAGAAGCCCAAGUAUUUGGUACCCCGAGUCGCAGAAGUUCGAGCGUGCGAGUGGCCAAGCGACGUGUUCUUACGCGCCGCUGGAAAUUAUGAGGACUUUUAUCACUUGGUGGAAAACACAGGCCUUACUGGCUUCGUUGAAGAUAAGUGUCCGCAAUACCUCCUCCUCACUAAUAUCUUCGUGCAAAGCUUUAACUUCUAUCCGAGGAAGAAUCCUCCUAUGGUUGAGUUUAAACUUUAUGAUAUCCCCCAGCGCAUGUCACUCCAGGAUUUUUGCAAUGUUUGCAAAUUGCCUUACGUUGGGGAUAUUCAUGAACCUCGUCCAUGGGACUUGGAAGCUUUCAUCGGUACUAUUGUUGUAGGAGAGGAGAGAGGAGUGUCUUGCGCUAGAGCUGCUAGCAUUCAUUUUCCCGUGCUUCGGUACUUCUCACUUUUUGUGGGAAAAUGUUUGAUUGGCUGUGGGAAGGUUGGAUCACUUAGUUCCCCAGAUCUUGCGGUCUUGCGCGAAGCCCUUUAUAACGAUAAAACUUAUAGCUUGGGCGCUAUAGUAGCUCAACGGUUGAACCUGAACCGUUCUAAAGGUGUUGUCUAUGGAGGUAUCUAUGCUACCCGUCUUGCCAGACACUUUGAGAUACCCAUUAGACUGGAGGAAGAAGAAGAGGUUCUUCUUCCCGAGAGAUAUCUAGAUUACGAUAGCAUGGUUCACCAUGACUUUCUUGAUAGAGAUAUAAGUAGAAGGAUGAUUUAUAACCUGGUAUUUAGUCAGGGUACUCGUGAGACUAUUACUUUGCCUGCUCCUUCUUUGUUCAAUCUUCAUGCAGGCAGGUACAUUAUUAUGCCCUCGGACAUCUAUGCAUAUUGGGGCUUGGUCCAACCACAGGUGUCCGUGCCCGAGCCACCAGUCGAGUACCAGACGCCAGUUUAUCAGUGGGAACCAGAGGAGCUCACACAGCAGUGGCAUCCUCAGUCCACACUGGAGUAUCCCGGGGCUGGUUAUUUCCCUCCUUGGGAGUAUACCAACUAAAGCCAAAAGCCUAAGCUUGGGGGAGUACGUGUUCUCACCGACUUUACAUUCUUGCUUAUGCUUUCACUUUGUUAGCCGGUGUUCACAGUUUGCCACUGUAUCAUCCAUGUUAGUUUAUUUUCUUUUUCUCGUUUUCUUUUCGUGUGUCUGUCUAGUUUGAGAAAAAAAAUCAAAAAGAUUUUCUUUUGCUUGUUGGGGGCUUUCCCGUGUAGAUAGUUUUCUUUUUCUUUGGGUCAAGGUAGAAGAUAUUGGUUACAAUGUUUAGUGGCUCUUGCAUGCAUACCUGUUUAUCUUUCAAAGAGCCAUAUUACUUUGUCUUCUCCUUUGUGUUUGCCUGCAGAUUCCAGCUUUAAUCCAAUGCACGAGCACGCUUAUUAUUGUUCACAUUGUUCGGUCGUGCAAGUGAAAGGCAAUAAUGACGAUAUAUGAUGAAGUGACUAAGCCUGGAAAAGCUGGUAUGAACUCGAUCUAUUUUGUUUUUGUAAAUAUGACUAGCUCAUCGUUCCUGAUUCAGCUUUGUUGUGAGGGAAACAUGUUUGUAAUGACAACUUAGAGAUCAUAGUUGCUUAUGCCAUGCUUACUUAGCUAGGAGCUUAUAAUGGUUUGUCUUGAAUGCCCACAUGAAUGUUGAGAUGACUAUGAUGUAGUAUGAUAGGAUGGUAUCCUCCUUUGAAUGAUUCAAGUGGCUUGACUUGGCGCAUGUUCACGCAUGUAGUUGAAACAAAAUCAACAUAGCCUCUAUGAUAUUCAUGUUCAUGGUGAUUUAUGUCCUACUCAUGCUUGCACUCAAUGCUAGCUAAUCUCAAUGCAUUUUGAUGACUGUUGUCGCUCUCUAGUUGAUCGCUUCCCAGUCUUUUGCUAGCCUUCACUUGUACUAAGCGGGAAUACUGCUUGUGCAUCCACUUCCCUAAACCCAAAGUUGUUCCAUAUGAGUCCACCAUACCAACCUAUAUGCGGUAUCUACCUGUCGUUCCAAGUAAAUUUGCAUGUGCCACUCUCUAAAUCUUCAAGAAAUAAUCUGUUUUGCAUGCCCGAACCGCUCAUGUGGUGAUAGGGGGCUAUUGGUAUCUUCCAUGCUAGGCGUGUUAUCCUUGAUAUGUGUUUAUUCACUAUCAUUCACGAGAAAGGGGCCGGUAAUUGGAAUUCCCAGUUCCAUACUCAAAUCGAAAAGAUAAUUGCAAACAAAACUCCCCCAGGAUUGAUGUUGGUAUGGACGGUACCCGAGGAUUCGGCUAGCCGUGGAGUGUGAUUGAUUGGUGGUGGGGGAGUGAAAUCUUUACUUUUCUGUUUGGGAACCGCCUAUAGCAUGUGUAGCGUGGAAGAUGUUGAGAACUCUUAGUCACUGCAUUGACAAUGAAAGCAUGCCACCCAAAAUUAUUAUCUCUGUUUUAAAAGCUUGAGCUCUGGCACCUCUGCAAAUCAAUGCUUCCCUCUGCGAAGGGCCUGUCUAUUUAUGUUCCUGUUGAGUCAUCCUCCUCUUACAAAAGCACCAAUUAGAGAGCACCUCUGUCAUUUUUAUGCUUUGCUUUCAACUGUGUUGAGUAUGACUAUGACUGGAUCUUCAUUGCCUUGAAUGACAAUGUUUAGUCAGCCCUUGGUCUUUGAAGGUGCUCUGCAUUUAUGUUUUGCGGUCUCAGAAAGAGCUAGCGAGAUACCAUCUAUUUGUACGGAUUCAUGUUGUCUUGAUUGAAGUGUUGACGUUUGAGACUUAUUAUUAUUUGCCGCUAGCUGAUUAUGCCAUUGAUAUGAGUUUACCGUGAGACCUAGAUGUCAUUUGCUUAUGUGGUUUGCUUGUGAUCUUGCUGAAAUUCUGGUUGUGAGUUAGACAUAGUUGCAACAACAAGAUCAAACAUAAUUCGUCAAAGUUUUUCUUUUGUCUCUCUCAGUUUGUCAACUGAGUUGCUUGAGGACAAGCAAGGCUUUAAGCUUGGGGGAGUUGAUACGUCUUCGUCGUAUCUACUUUUUCGAACUCUUUUGCCCUUGUUUUGGACUCAAAUUUGCAUGAUUUGAAUGGAACUAACCCGGACUGACGCUGUUUUCAGCAGAAUUGCCAUGGUGUUGUUUUUGUGCAGAAAUAAAAGUUCUCGAAACGUCCUGAAAAUUUACGAAGAUUUUUUCUAGAAUAAAAGAAAAAUACCUGCGCGAAGAUCCACCAGAGGAGGUGGACCAGUGGGCCACAAGCCCACAGGCCGCGGCCACCCCCCUGGCCGCGUCGUGGGGGCUUGUGGGGUCCACGUGGCUCCACCGCCUCCAAACUCAGCUCUAUAUCUUCCGUCUCGCCCGGAAAAAAAUCAGAGAGAAGGUUUUAUCACAUUUUGCGAUACGGAGGCGCCGCCACAUCCUGUUCUUCAUCUGAGGGCAGAUCUGGAGUCCGUUUCGGGCUCCGGAGAGGGGAAAUCGUCGCCAUCAUCAUCAUCAACCUUUCUCCAUCGACAAUUCUAUGAUGCUCUUCAUCGUUCGUGAGUAAUCUCAUCGUAAGCUUGCUGGACAGUGAUGAGUUGGAUGAGAUCUAUCAUGUAAUCGAGUUAGUUUUUGACGGGGAUUGAUCCCUAGUAUCCACUAUGUUCUAGAUUGAUGUUGCUACUACUUGGCUAUGCUUAAUGCUUGUCACUAGGGCCCGAGUACCAUGAUUUCAGAUUUCAACCUAUUAUGUUUUCGCCAAUAUAUGUGUGUUUUAGAUCCUAUCUUGCAAGUUGUAGUCACCUACUAUGUGUUAUGACCCGGCAACCCCGGAGUGACAAUAGCCGGAACCACUCCCGGAGAUGACCAUAGUAUGAGGAGUUCAUGUAUUCAACGCGUGUUAAUGCGUUGGUCCGGUUCUUUAUUAAAGGAGAACCUUAAUAUCCCGUAGUUUCCAUUAGGACCCCGCUGCCACGGGAGGGAUGGACAAUAGAUGUCAUGCAAGUUCUUUUCCCUAAUCACGUAUGACUACAUACGGAAUACAUGCCUACAUUAGAUUGAUGAACGGGAGCUAGUUACAUAUCUCUCUGUGUUAUAGUUGUUACAUGAUGAAUCACAUUCGUAAUACUCAUCCAUCACCGAUCCACUGCCUACGAGUAUUUUACUACUGGUCCUUGCUACGUUACUUUGUCUUGGCUUGUCCCUUGCUACAAAAGGGAUUGGGCCACUUUGCUGCUACUGUUGCUACUGCUGUCACUUUGCUGCUAUUGUUACUACUACUGUUACUUUGCUGCUGCUGCUACUGCUGUUCCUUGCUACUUUGCUGUUACUUGUUGCAAGACUUUUCUGGAGCCGUAGCGGGGGAAGCAUUCUUCUCAAGAAUAAUCCCCCGUCAACGUGCUAUUUACUGGCGCCAUUGAUACAACAGUUAGGAAUAGUCUACCGUCAACAGAUCGUUUCUGGCACCGUUGCUAUCAUACUACUUUGCUACUGAUACUUUGCUUGCAGACACUAAUCUUUCAGGUGUGGUUGAAUCUGAUAAACUCAGUUGCUAAUACUUGAGAAUAUUCUUUAGCUUCCCCUUGUGAACGAAUCAAUAAAUUUGGGUCGAAUACUCUACCCUCGAAAACUGUUGCGAUCCCCUACACUUGUGGGUUAUCAGAGAUCAAUUGGGUGUCUCAAAAGAGCCAAAACCUCAAGUAUAUAUAGGAGGAGGGAGAGGGAGGGCUGCCUUGGCCCCUCCUCCAAGGAGGAGAGGUUCGGUCGAACUAGGGGAGGAGUCCACCUCCCACAAGGGAGGUGGAUCCCUUCCUUUUAAACCCCUUUUGCCUUAUCUCGUUUAUCCCUUGCCACAUGGGCCUUUAGGGAAGGCCUUGGCCAUACCAAUAAGGGCUGGUCCACCUCCUCCAACAGCCCAUGGACUCCUUUGGUCGUCACACCCCUCCCGGGGUCCUCCGGCACCCUCCCGGCACUCCCGGUACACUACCGAUGAGUCCGAAACUUUUCCAGUGACCAAAACAGGACUUCCUAUAUAUCAAUAUUUACUUCCGGACCAUUUUGGAGCUCCUCGUGAUGUCCGGGAUCUCAUCCGGGACUCCGAACAACCUUUGGUAACCACAUACUAUUCCCUUUACAACUAUAGCGUCAUCGAACCUUAAGUGUGUAGACCCUACGGGUUCAGGAAACAUGCAGACAUGACCGAGACAUCUCUCCGACCAAUAACCAACAAUGGGAUCUGGAUAUCCAUGUUGGUUCCCACAUGUUCCAUGAUGAUCUCAUCGGAUGAACCACGGUGUCAAGGAUUCAAUCAAUCCCGUAUGCAAUUCCCUUUGUCUACCGGUAUGAUACUUGCCCGAGAUUCGAUCGUCGGUAUCCACAUACCUUGUUCAAUCUCGUUACCGACAAGUCUCUUUACUCGUUCCAUAAUACAUCAUCCCAUGGCUAACUCCUUAGUCACACCGAGCUCAAUAUGAUGAUGGAUUACCGAGUGGGCCCAAAGAUACCUCUUCGUCACACGGAGUGACAAAUCCCAGUCUCGAUUCGUACAACCCAACACAUACUUUCGGAGAUACCUGUAGUGUACUUUUAUAAUCACCCAGUUACCUAUGACGUUUGGUACACCCAAAGCACUCCUACGGUAUCCGGGAGUUGCAAUGUCUCAUGGUCUAAGGAAACGAUACUUGACAUUAGAAAAGCUUUAGCAGACGAACAACACGACCUAGUGCUAUGAUUAGGAUUGGGUCUUGUCCAUCACAUCAUUCCCCAAUGAUGUGAUCCCGUUAUCAACGACAUCCAAUGUCCAUGAUCAAGAAACCAUGAUCAUCUAUUGAUCAAUGAGCUAGCCAACUAGUGGCUCACUAGGGACACAUUGUGAUCUAUAUAUUCACACAUGUGUAUUACGGUUUCUGGUUAAUACAAUUAUCGCAUGAAUAAUAGACAAUUAUCAUGAACUGGAAAUAUAAUAAUAACAACUUUAUUAUUGCCACUAGGGCAUAUUUCCAACACCUUGCCCUUCCGCCAUCUCCUAACGACCCCCUCUUUUGUCCCUCGUGAGCUUCUCUUUUGUCCCUCCCGAGAUUCUGCACACGCACGCGCACGCACACAGUCUCUCAUGCAAUGCAAGCUCUUCUCAAGUGGCAAGGAAGCUUCAGCAGUUUCUUAGCUGAGACCAAGCUAGUAAAUAAACUGGAUAAUAUGUCUUCAAAAUGUUGGGAGGCCUACAGAGUUUGGGUUCAACAGAAUAUGAGCCGUCUCAUUACAACACACAUUAUGGACCCAAAGUGAACUGGGUUGUUAACAAAUUACAGAAAGGCAUAUAACUGGGGAUACGUAGACGAUGCGAGGUUGCCGACAUUCAUGCUUUGUUCUGUCUAAGUACAUCCACCUUCAAGCGAUUGCAGGAUAUGUCUGAUUACCGCGAGGUGCAACACUGCAAACGCCCCAAGACAGAAGCAACAACACAAAGAGCAACAACACGAGCAACAACGGAUCUGGUAGAGGCGUACGUGAGAAAAAGGAUUAGCACCAGCAGGAAUAAUUAGUAGGCAUCACAAAGUGGGCUUACCUUCGCAGGAGCAUGGUGGUGGUGGUUGGCGUUGUAGGUGUGUGCUGCUUACCGAUGGCCAUCGCCAUCGGCAGGACAAAUCCGGAGGGUGGCACGCCGACCUCGACGGAGAUGUCCACCUCCUACGUCCACCAUCGUGCGGGGGAGGGGAUGACCGUGCAUCUCCUUUGUCACCGGGCUCGGGAACGACAGAGGAGCGCGUCAGCGAAAGCACCGAUGUGUCGUGUGGCCGAUAUGGCCUUCACCUGAUCUUCUCGAGAAGGUGAAACGACAUCGGUGGGCCUCCUAUGGAGAGAGGGUAGAGCUCACCGGUGGCCAUCGCCAUUGGCAGGGUGGGGGAGGCAACUGGUUUGGGACGGGAGGAAGAAGGAAGGAAAAGGGAGGACGACGAAAGAGCAGGCUACGAUUUGGUCUCAGCCAACCGGUCUCCUCGCCUUUAUCCCCAAGAGCCAGCCACAAGCGGAGUGCCACGCAAGGGGCAAGACGUGGAAUGUCAGAAGUACCCUCGACGGGCAUCGAAAAUAACACGCGGUGGCGUGGCACGGCCAGCGCGCAGAGAAGGACAAGCACCGAGAGCACCACCCACCACACGCACUAACGGUUGGAGCCCACCCGCCCAGGGCCCGCGAGUCAUUCUAAUACACAGAGGCAACAUGAGUGUAUAAGGAAAGACAUUAUUCAUUGCUAGUCACAUCAGAGACGAUCCGACGGCCGGGAUCAAUUCAUCUCAAGAUUGGCAUCUUUAUUAAAUGCUCCUACCGCGUUGCAAAGCAAGCUAGGGACAUCGUUCUUCAACGGGCAACGACACAAGAGUGAUGGGGGCGGUGGGUGAAGCUUUCGGGAAGGGCACGAGGCACGAGGGGGGAGAGUGACAUGUAGGCCCUUUCUUAUCCCGAUUUGCUGGUUCGUGCACAGUUGCAUUUCAUUCAGCUAACAUGCCGAGCUCGGAUCUGAUCUCAGUUGGAUCCUGAUCUGAGAAACAUGUUACCCUGCUGAAUUUUGCCUGCGGCCAACCGACCCCAACUUGCGCCGGAAGGUCAACAAAGCGGCGAGGCCAACUUGCGCCGGCCACGUCAAAGCCGCGGGACCUCCACAGCUCAACCCACGCGACGCCAACACGUAGAGAGAUCCGGCCUCUCCGGUCUCAGCUCGGGUCGACAAAAAGCGAGCCAACGCGGAGGGAACCAAAGCGUCGCCUAGCUUCCGUCGGCCGGAGGGCUUCGCUUGUGCUCUGUUCUUACAAGCCAUCACGAUUCUGUGCUCGUGUCGAUAAUCUCUCUGCCUUCUGAACUGUGCUCUGUUCUUUGCUUGCUUCGUGCGAAUGGCUUUGAUUCUGUAUGUAGCUUCAUCACGAUUCACGAGUAGAUGCUGCUGUUGUAUGCUGUUGCUAGCACUAGCAGAGUGGGGAAAUGCUUCCCCUGCUCGUCUCGCUUCCCCUUUUCACGACCCGUCUCUGAUCAAGGUUAACUUUCCAGCACUUAGCUUCUCAGUUCCUUGGGUUGCAGAUUAAGCUAGCUGUAGAGAUCCGAUCUGAGCCAGUAGCAGUGCGACUUUGUCCAGAGAGAAAGCGACAGAAUAGGUAAGUGUAAUAGGAAUCGGUCCUUAUUUUGAUACUAGAUAAGCGGAGAAUUCUGUGCCUAAAGGCCCAGAAAGUCAAAAUCAGGAAUUCAGGAUAACAUCUAGUAAGAAUUGGCCCUUAUUUUUGACCCAAGUUACUUUGUCUGCCUCUCUUUGACCUGCAGUUAAAAAAUUCAAUGCUUAGAAUGACGGUGAUAGGAAAAAAAUUGUCUCUCAGUUGUCCAUGCAAUUCAGUGCAUAUCCACAGUCUUGCCUUAAUUUUUACCUGAUAUUUAAUGAGCUUCUAAACUUCUUUCUCGCUUAUCUGUAACACCAAUACUGUAACGUGUGACAUUCUCUGAAUAAUAGGUUUUUGAUUGUGACGGCAAUUCGCAACCUAAACCAAUGUCUGACAACAGUAUUCAACGAGCAUUGCUACCUGAUAACCACAACGCCGACGUGCUCCAAAGGAAGCCGUCAGAAGGAGCUAAACGGUUCCGAAGAAGCAGGUCGGCUCCCAGAUCAGAGGCCGAUCAGAAACCAGAAGAAAAUGGCUCGCCGCUUCCAGACAAGGAGUUGUUCAGCGUGAUACGACCGAGCUUUAGACUAGCAGGGCUCCUCCUAUUUCUCUACCUGCUAGCGGGCGUCGUCGUCUUUUACCUUGUCAUGGAUCAGUUAUCUGGCAAGAGAACCAACAGGGUGCUUGACGCACUCUACUUCUGUAUUGUCACGAUGACAUCGGUUGGUUACGGAGACCUUGUCCCUCACAGUGACACGGCGAAGCUCCUCGCCUGUGUUUUCGUCUUCACUGGCAUGGCGUUUAUUGCUCUCUUUGUGAGCAAGUCGGCAGAUUAUCUCGUCGAGAAGCAGGAGGUGCUGUUCUUCAAGGCACUGCACAUGAACAUGAAGUUUAGCAAGGCCAAAAUGCUCAGGCAAAUUGAGACAAACAAGACAAAGUACAAAUUCUACACUGCUGCCCUACUUCUUGUGACAACCAUUGUUGUGGGGACUGUUUUUCUCUGGAAGGUUGAGAAGCUGAGCCUUGUCGAUUCCUUUUAUUGUGUCUGUGCCACAAUAACUGCCCUGGGCUAUGGGGAUAAAAGCUUCUCGUCCGAAUUGGGGCGCACUUUCGCGGUAUUUUGGAUAAUUACGAGCACCAUAAUCCUGGCGCUGUUCUUCAUGUACCUUGCUGAGAUCUACACCCAGCGACGGCAGAAAAUGCUGGCCAAAUGGGUUCUCACACGGAGAAUAACAAACAUGGAUCUUGAAGCAGCUGAUCCUNNNNNNNNNNNNNNNNNNNNNNNNNNNNNNNNNNNNNNNNNNNNNNNNNNNNNNNNNNNNNNNNNNNNNNNNNNNNNNNNNNNNNNNNNNNNNNNNNNNNAGGCCUGCUCUCCCGUCGACCGUGUACGCGGUAAACGGGACGGAGUCACCGGCGGCAGCAGCAGUUCAAGGAACGAACGCGUGAGCGGCUCGGCUCAUUCCCGCAACCCGCGGCGUGGCGUGGCGCGUCGUGACGAGGCGAGGCGGGCGGCGGAGGAGGAGUGCGCGAGGGCACCUUCUCUUCUCACUCUCCAAUAGCAUGUGGAAGAGAGACCCUUAUAAAGGGGUCCAAACUCUCCUCCACUAGCGGGGUGGGACUAAACUCCCACCACCUUGUCAUGCCACCACCUACAUGGGCCCUUGUAGAUUUUCUGAAAUUCUCUAAUGGGCCUAAGGCCCACCUCCAAAUUUCAACAAUCCCCCACCAGAUCUCAGUAAGGCCCACCUCCAAAUUUUAACACUAUAUACAUCCGUAUGUAGUCCACUAGUGAAAUCUCUACAAAGACUUAUAUUUAGGAACGGAGGGAGUACUUGGCAUGCACACUUCAAUUUACUCGGCCAGCUGAAGGGCCUAUUGUACUCCAGGUCAUUCCCAAGAAGGAACACAUUGGUUCUGGCAUGCAGAUUGCUCAUCUAGAAUUCAGGUUAGCCCCUCCUCCCCCCCCCCNNNNNNNNNNNNNNNNNNNNNNNNNNNNNNNNNNNNNNNNNNNNNNNNNNNNNNNNNNNNNNNNNNNNNNNNNNNNNNNNNNNNNNNNNNNNNNNNNNNNCACAGCCACAAGUCAUUAUGGGGUCUGGCUUGGUUGGACAACGCGGCGACCCUGGACAGGCGGUGCUAGCAGAUGUAGAAGAACGGUAGGAAUGGAUGGGCACCGACAGGGAUUCAGAGGGACCCGUUGAAGACCAUGUUUUGAUCAUCCGGUCUUCAAACACCCUGAAGUGCGAGGACAUACCCGGAGGCGAUUAAAUCUUGUGGGGAACGUGUGCAAAACUCUGCAGAGUGCCCAAACCUAAUCGAUUAGCCGUGUCCACGGUCAUGGACAACUUGAGCCGAAGGCAUUGAAAUUUCCCUGAACUCUCGACACAACUUAAUAAUGAUGUGGGUAUCAACAACUCGGGUACGAGAAUUGGUUGGCGGAACCAUCUCGUUAACAACAAACAAUGUAGUAAUAUUUUUGCUUUCAACCCUCUCUUGUUGUAGGAGAAAAUUGGCUUUAUGCUAAAACUUAUAGUCCCACCUGCCAAAUAUGCAUGUAGAGAUAGUUGGUUAUUACUUUUCCCCUCUCUUUGAUGACUUGCCGGCAUAUUCCAUAUGCUGACCUACAUGGCUGCAACGUAUUAUCUUGCAGAGUACUUUUCCGACCNNNNNNNNNNNNNNNNNNNNNNNNNNNNNNNNNNNNNNNNNNNNNNNNNNNNNNNNNNNNNNNNNNNNNNNNNNNNNNNNNNNNNNNNNNNNNNNNNNNNUCAAGUAGCGCACUCCAGGUAUUCCUUUGAAAACUCCUUUCAAACAACCUUGUAUGCUUUACAGAAAUUCUACAUUACUUCUGAUCCACGAUAUGUCAACCACAUAUACUUAUCAGAAAUUCUAUAGUGCACCCACUCACUUCUUUGGAAAUACAAGUUUCUCAUAAACCUUGUACAAACCGAAAAUAUUUGAUCAUCUCAUCAAAGUGUAUAUUUCAACUCCAUCUCAUCAAAGUGUAUAUUCCAACUCCGAGAUGCUUGCACCAGUCCAUUGAAGGAUCGCUGGAGCUUGCAUGCUUGCUAGUAUCUUUAGGAUCGACAAAACCUCCUGGUUGUAUCACAUACAAUGUUUGCUCAAGGAAACCGUCGAGGAAACAAUGUUUUGACAUCCUAUGUGCAAUAUUUCAUAAAUAAUGCAGCAACUACUAACAUAAUUCUAACAGACUUUUAGCAUCGCUACGAGUAAGAAAGUCUCAUCAUAGUCAACUGUUUGAUCUUGUCGGAAACAUCUUUGCAACAAGUCGAGCUUUCUUAAUAGUGACUUAUCACCAUCAUCGUCUGUCUUCCUUUUAAAGAUCCAUCUUUACUCAAUAGUCCUAUGACCAUCAAGUAGUUCUUCCAAAGUCUACACUUUGUUUUCAUACAUGGAUCCUCUCUCGGAUUUCAUGGCCUCCAGCCAUUUGUCGGAAUCCGGGCCCACCAUUGCUUUCUCCAUAACUCGUAGGUUCAUUGUUGCUCAACAACGUGACCUCCAAGACAGGGUUACCGUACCACUCUGCAGUAGUACGCGACCUUGUCAACCUACGAUAUUUGUAGUAACUUGAUUCGAUGCUCGAUGAUCACCAUUAUCAGCUUUCACUUCAAUUGGUGUAGGCGCCACAGGAACAACUUCCUGCGCCCUGCUCCACACUGGUCGAAGUGAUGGUUCAAUAACCUCAUCAAGUUCUACCACCCUCCCACUCAAUUCUUUCGAGAGAAACCUUUCCUCGAGAAAGGAUCCGUUUCUAGAAACAAACACUUUGCUUUCGGAUCUGAGAUAGGAGAUGUACCCAACUGUUUUGGAUAUCCUAUGAAGAUGCAUUUAUCCGCUUUGGGUUCGAGCUUAUCAGACUGAAACUUUUUCACAUAAGUUUCGAAGCCCCAAACUUUCAAGAAACGACAGUUUAGAUUUCUCUAAACCUCAGUCUAUACUGUGUCAUCUCAACGGAAAUAUGCGGUGCCCUAUUUAAAGUGAAUGCGGUUGUCUCUAAUGCAUAACCCAUAAACGAUAGUGGUAAUUCAAUAAGAGACAUCAUAGAAUGCACCAUACCAAAUAGUGCGUGGCUAUGACGUUCAGACACAUCAUCACACUAUGAUGUUCCAGGUGGCAUGAACUGCGAAACAAUUUCCACAUUGUCUUAACUGUGUACCAAAACUCGUAACUCGGAUAUUCAUUUCUAUGAUCAUAUCGUAGACAGUUUAUCCUCUUGUUACGACGAACUUCACUCCGAAACAGAAUUGAACUUUUCAAUAUUUUAGACUUGUGAUUCAUUAAGUAAAUACUCUUGUAUCUACUCAAAUCUUCAUUGAAGUAAGAACAUAAUGACAUCCACUGCGUGCCUCAGCACCCAUUGGACUGCAUACAUCAAAAUCUAUCACUUCCAACACUUUACUAUCUUGUUUCAUCUCAAUGAAAACAAGGCCUUGUUCAUGUGGUGUGAUUUGCAUGUCACUAGUGAUUCAAAAUCAAGUGAGUAUAAAGAUCCAUCAACAUGGAGCCUCUUCAUGCAAUUUAUACCAACAUGACUCAAGCGGCAGUGCCACAAGUAAGUGGUACUAUCAUCAUUACCUCGUAUCUUUUGGCACCAAUAUCAUGAACAUGUGUAACACUACGAUCGAGAUUCAAUAAACCAUUGAAGGUGAUUAUUCAAGCAAAUAGAGUAACCAUUAUUCUCUUUAAAUGAAUAAUCGUAUUGCAAUAAACACGAUCCAAUCAUGUUCAUGCUUAACGCAAGCACCAAAUAACAAUUAUUUAGGUGUAACACCAAUCCCGAUGGUAGAGGGAGCGUGCGACGUUUGAUCAUAUCAACCUUGGAAACACUUCCAACACGUAUCGUCACCUCGCCUUUAGCUAGUCUCCGUUUAUGCCGUAGCUUUCAUUUCGUGUUACUAAUCACUUAGCAACCGAACCGGUAUCCAAUACCCUCGUGCUACUAGGAGUACUAGUAAAGUUCACAUCAACAUCAUGUAUAUCAAAUAUACUUCUUUCGACUUUUGCCAGCCUUCUUAUCUACCAAGUAUCUAGAGUUGCUCCGCCUCAGUGACUGUUCCCCUCAUUACAGAAGCACUUAGUCUCAGGUUUGGGUUUAAUCUUGGGUCUCUUCAUUAGUGCAGCAGUUGUUUUGCCGUUUCACUAAGUAUCCCUUCUAGCCCUUGCCUUUCUUGAAACUUAGUGGUUUUACUAACCAUCAACUAUUGACGCUCCUUCUUGAUUUCUACUUCCGCAGUGUCAAACAUCGUGAAUUGCUCAAGGAUCAUUGUAUCUAUCCUUGAUAUGUUAUAAUUCAUCACGAAGCUCUCACAGCUUGGUGGCAGUGACUUUGGAGAACCAUCACUAUCUCAUCUGGAAGAUUAACUCCCAGUUGAUUCAAGCGAUUGUCGUACUCAGAUAAUCUGAGCACACGCUCAACGAUUGAGCUUUUCUCCCUUACUUUGUGGACAAAGAAUCUUGUCAGAGGUCUCGUACCUCUUAACAAGGGCACAAGCAUGAAAUCACAAUUUCAUCUCUUUAGACCAUCUCUUAUGUUCCGUGACGUUUCAAAACGUCUUCGGCGCCUUGCUUCUAAGCCAUUAAGUAUUUUGUACUGAACUAUCGUGUAGUCAUCAGAAACGUGUAUGUUGGAUGUUCACAGCAUCCACAGACGACGCUCGAGGUGCAGCACACUGAAUGGUGCAUUAAGGACAUAAGCCUUCUGCGCAGCAACGAGGACAAUCCUCUGCAAAGUUUGCUACUAUCAACUUUCAACUAAAUUUUCUCUAGGANNNNNNNNNNNNNNNNNNNNNNNNNNNNNNNNNNNNNNNNNNNNNNNNNNNNNNNNNNNNNNNNNNNNNNNNNNNNNNNNNNNNNNNNNNNNNNNNNNNNUGGCAUCCGAGCCAGGUUUUCUAUGAGUAGAUUCUAUGCACGAGUAGAACACAAAAGUUGUGGGCGAUGGUUUGUCAAUUUGCUUGCCGUUACUAGUCUUAUUCUUUUCCGGCGGUAUUGUGGGAUGAAGCGGCCCGGACCAACCUUACACGUACGCUUACGUGAGACUGGUUCCACCGACAGACAUGCACAUAGUGCAUAAAGGUGGCUAGCGGGUGUCUGUCUCUCCUACUCUAGUCGGAUUGGAUUUGAUGAAAAGGGUCCUUAUGAAGGGUAAAUAGCUUUGGCAUAUCAUCGUUGUGGCUGUCACGUAGGUAAGAAGGCGUUCUUGCUAGAAACCCAAAUCAGCCACGUAAAACUUGCAACAACAAUUAGAGGACGUCUAACUUGUUUUUGCAGGGUUUGACAUGUGAUGUGAUAUGGCCAAAGUUGUGAUGUUGCAUGUAUGAUGUAUGAGAUGAUCAUGUUAUUGUAAUAGGUUUCACGACUUGCAUGUCGAUGAGUAUGACAACCGGCAGGAGCCAUAGGAGUUGUCUUAAUUUAUUGUAUGAGAUGCAACGCCAUGUGCUUACUACUUUUACUUCAUUGCUAACGGUUAGCCAUAGUAGUAGUGAUAGUAGUAGUUGGCGUGACGACUUCAUGAAGACACGAUGAUGGAGAUCAUGAUGAUGGAGAUCAUGGUGUCACGCCGGUGACGAUGAUGAUCAUGCGAUGCCUGAAGAUGGAGAUCGAAUGAGCAAAGAUGAUAAUGGCCAUAUCAUGUCACUAUAUGAUUGCAUUGUGAUGUUUAUCAUGUUUUACAUCUUAUUGCUUAAAACGACGGUAGCAUAAUAAGAUGAUCCCUCUUAAAAUUUCAAGAACGUAUUCCCCUAAGUGUGCACCGUUGCGAAGGUUCGUUGUCUCGAAGCACCACGUGAUGAUCGGGUGUGAUAGAUUCUAACGUUCGCAUACAACGGGUGUAAGCCAGAUUUACACACGCGAAACACCUAGGUUGACUCGACGAGCUUAGCAUGUACAGACAUGACCUCGAAUACAAGAGACCGAAAGGUCAAACAUGAGUCGUAUGGUUGAAUACGAUCAGCAUGAAGUUGCUCACCAUGGUGACUAGUCCGUCUCACGUGAUGAUCGGACACGGGUUAGUCAACAUGGAUCAUGUAUCACUUAGAUGACUAGAGGGAUGUCGAUUUAAGUGGGAGUUCAUACUUAAUUUGAUUAAAUGAACUUAAUUGUCAUGAACUUAGUCUAAAAGUUGUCUUUACAAAUAUUGUAGAUGUCCAACGUCAACCUCAACUUCAACGCAUUCCUAGAGAAAAACAAGCUGAAAGAUGAUGGUAGCAACUAUGCGGACUGGGUUCGCAACCUGAAGCUCAUCCUUGAAGCAGCUAAAAAGGCAUAUGUCCUUAAUGCGCCGCUAGGUGACCCUCCUGCUCCCGCAGCAGCGCAGGACGUUCUAAACGUCUGUCAAGCGCGGAGUGAUGACUACUCUCUGGUCAGGUGUGGCAUGUUAUACAGUUUAGAAACGGGGCUCCAAAGACGUUUUGAGCAACACGGGGCAUAUGAGAUGUUCCAAGAGCUGAAGCUAGUUUUUCAAGCUCAUGCCCGUGUCGAGAGAUAUGAAGUCUCCGACAAGUUCUUCAGCUGUAAGAUGGAGGAGAACAGUUCUGUCAGUGAGCACAUACUCAAAAUGUCUGGGUUACACGGUCGUCUGACUUCACUUGGAGUCGAACUUCCGGAUGAUGCUAUCAUUGACAGAAUCCUCCAGUCUCUCCCACCAAGCUACAAAGGCUUUGUGCUUAACUACAACAUGCAAGGGAUGGAGAAAACCAUUCCCGAGUUGUACUCGAUGCUCAAGUCUGCAGAAGUAGAAAUCAAGAAGGAGCAUCAAGUGUUGAUGGUCAACAAGACCACUAGUUUCAAGAAAGGCAGGGGUAAGAAGAACUUCAAGAAAGACGGCAAAGUUGUCGCCGCGCCCGGUAAGCCAGAUGCCGGGAAGAAGAAAAAGAACGGACCCAAGCCUGAGACUGAGUGCUUCUACUGCAAGGGAAAAGGUCACUGGAAGCGGAACUGCCCCAAAUACUUAGCGGACAAGAAGGCCGGCAACGUUAAAGGUAUAUGUGAUAUACAUGUUAUUGAUGUGUACCUUACCAGCGCUCGUAGUAGCUCCUGGGUAUUUGAUACCGGUGCUGUUGCUCACAUUUGCAACUCAAAGCAGGAACUGCGGAAUAAGCGGAGACUGGCCAAGGACGAGGUGACGAUGCGCGUCGGGAAUGGUUCAAAGGUCGAUGUGAUCGCCGUCGGCACGCUACCUCUACAUCUACCGUAGGGAUUAGUUUUAAACCUUAAUAAUUGUUAUUUAGUACCAGCUUUAAGCAUGAACAUUGUAUCAGGGUCUUGCUUAAUGCGAGACGGCUACUCAUUUAAGUCAGAGAAUAAUGGUUGUUCUAUUUAUAUGAGUGAUAUGUUUUAUGGUCAUGCUCCACUGGUAAAUGGUUUAUUCUUGAUGAAUCUCGAUUGUGAUGUUACACAUAUUCAUAGUGUGAGUACCAAAAGAUGCAAAGUUGAUACUGAUAGUCCCACAUACUUGUGGCACUGCCGCCUUGGUCAUAUCGGCGUUAAGCACAUGAAGAAGCUCCAUACUGAUGGGCUAUUAGAAUCUCUUGACUUUGAAUCAUUAGACACAUGCGAACCGUGCCUCAUGGGCAAGAUGACUAAGACUCCAUUCUCAGGAGUAAUGGAGAGAGCAACCGACUUAUUGGAAAUAAUACAUACUGAUGUGUGUGGUCCAAUGAACGUUGAAGCUCNNNNNNNNNNNNNNNNNNNNNNNNNNNNNNNNNNNNNNNNNNNNNNNNNNNNNNNNNNNNNNNNNNNNNNNNNNNNNNNNNNNNNNNNNNNNNNNNNNNNUGGAUAAUGAUCGAAAAGUGGGGUAAGCGCAUAAAGCAUUUUUAGUAUUCUUCCUCGCCAUCAUAUCCCUUAAGAUUUUGCAGGUAAUGAGCAUCGGUGUUGAUUUGUGAACUUUGAUAUGUGCAGUGCUGCUGAAUUUGUCGUGUACAAGCUCAAAGAACUGGGGAAGAUCAGCCAAGAAGACAUAUCUUCUUUUCUAGAGGAGUUUGAGAAACUCGACGUUGACCAGUCCGGCACGCUCUCCACCUAUGACCUUACUCAGGCACAAUCCGGUCAGUGAUGAACAUAUGGGCUUGUACUUAAUUCUACAGCUUAAAUACUAUAGUUGAAUGGUCGGUUAAUGCUGUUAAUUAGUUCUGUAAUCUUGUAAAGUGUCAAAAGAUACGACCUUGUUGAGCUCCUACAUGUAUUUAACACAAUGGAUCUGCUCAUAUGCACCUGGACAUGUGUAAGAAAGAGGUAUUUGGUGAUGCUUUGAUAAGCUUGUGUACCUGUGUAAAUGAAGUUUGCUAAGCUAUUGUUUUCCAGUCAUGAAAUAUUUCCAGCUUCCAAUAUGGU
rnacentral:lncRNA from 1 species